rnacentral:lncRNA from 1 species
AGGGCCAUUGGUUGACGUGAGUAAAUUUCAUUUGUUCAUUAUUGCUGGUCUUUUUGUUUGCUCUAUUGCUAUUUACGAGUAUAAUGAUUAGAUAUGACAGAAUGGGAGCGGAGGAGUGGAACUGUGUGUUGGUGUUGGGUGAUAUAUGAUGUUGAUAUAUUGGUUUCCCUGCGUCUCCCCUAUACUGAUAAUUUGAGAAAUCAUUUUUUUUGGGUCUUCUACCCGUGAGGCAUCUCAGCGGUUGCAAGCUCCUCAACGAUGCAGCUUAUGUUUUCGUGAAGGAUUUUGCUAUCAGUUUGUUCCCUAUUUUUCCUGAAGAAUUUGCCCAAGUACACAGAAAUCUGAAGCAAGGCGAUGCACUCAACCAGGACUCCAUUCCGAAGCCUCGUUUGCCAUACCAGCUUCAGUUAAGCAGGAGUAUCAUCCUAACACUCUCCAAUGUACUCCUGGAGAGUGUUAGGAUGAUACAUCCUCCAUAGUCGCAGCACUCGUUCAGUCGUUCUCACGGUCUCAUCCUGACAAGAGCUGAGAAACCAGGGUCCCUUUGCUCGCUCUGAUGCAAACGCUUGUUCUGGACCGCGAAUGUAAUGCAACAUUGGAUGCGAGCAUCUUUCCACGAGCCAGCCAAGUAUCCGUCCCGGUUCGAGAAUGCUUAAAGCAACUCCAACGCGCUGACCCAAAUAAGGAUGGCAAUGGAUAAGGUAGAGCAAUACUAUAUUCAUAUAGUCAGUGGAUACAAAAUUCUACCUAUACCCAUAUUCAUGGUAUGAAACUUUACCCUACCCGUACCUGUUGGGUACUCGGUGGAUAGAACAAAUAGUACAUAAGUUCACAAUUUUACACUCAUUGAUAGCACAUUUGGCAACAACUUAACAUUAGUUCACAAGUGGGCAGGGUAUGGGUAUACCCAUGGGUACAAGACUAUAUUUGUACCCUGCCCAUGACUUAACGCGCAGGCAGUACCAUGGGUAUAAAAGUGUGCCCAUACCCUACCCAUGCGGGUAUGAUAUUUGUGGGUAAAAUUGCCAUCCUUAGACUGCGCGUGUGUCCGUUUGGGUUUGGAUCGAAACUGACACAGAAGUCGUCCUAACAUGACGACCCAAAUGAGCGAACGUCCGCUUUUUGUCUGUGUGCGACCCAUUUCAGGCUCAAAUUUGGGCCGUGUUUGUGUCGGUGUGAACGUAUGCCCUUGUCCUCCUUCUGGCCUGCCAGUCGGUGGCACAUUGGCCAUUCCCUCUUCCUCCAAUCGACAAACAGCACACCUAGCAGCCCCACCCGCUGCCCAGUUUCUGUGCUCAGGCUAGCUGUCCGUGCCCACAUACCUCCCCAGCACAGCACCUCAUGACGGCCACAUACUCUGGCGUAUGGUAGAUCGUUUUCACCGCUGCCGCACCUCGAUAUCAACGCCACCCCCUCGUUUGCAGCACUCAAGCGCGGCAACCUCGCUCCAGACGCCACCAUGCCCGGCGGACGCCAUCAGGCCUGCUACCUGGUCUCGGAGAGGCGUGAGGCUCUUCAUCGGCCGACUUCUUCCACUUCGCCCUCAAACUGUUCGACGAUUUGCCCGCAAGGUACAAAUGGACUCCGGUGGUAAGUACUUCUUUCACAAUUUCAUUUGCGAUUCAAAUGACUCUUUUGAGGUGCUCGUGCCAAAAGGAAAAUCAGUUCCGAACAAUGGUAUUUUUCGAAGUUUCUCAUAUACCUCAAAUUUGUCUUUAUUGACAUAAGCUUCUCAGAUGUCCAAACAUCACAAAAUUCUGACCUUGCACACAUGAGCAUCUUAGAUGCCUUAAUAUUUCAAUUUUUUUUGAAUUUACUGUUUACAUCAAUGUGUGUAUGAGCCUGGGUGCAGAAUAACCACACUCCUAUGUCUGCCGCUUCUGUCAUUGGAACUCAGAGACCUGAAUCCUAUUUGGCGCUUACGGCGCCAAUUACAACCUUAUCAGUAACUGGCGGCCUAAUCGGGGUUCUUUCAUCACCGGUUUUGGGAAUAGGUCUCCCUUUGGUUUUUCGGGGCUGGUUUUCUCUUCAGUUUUUUCUCCUUUCCCUUUUUCUUUUAUCUUUUUCUAUUUCCCCUUUUUCUUUUCAGGUUUUUUUAUUUUUUAUUUUUCAUGAACUCCUUUUUCCAUGUUCAUGAACUUUUUUAAAUAUCAGAAACAAUUUUCAAAUCCAUGAACUUUUUUCAAUUUCAUGAACUUUUUUCAAUUUCAUGAAUAUUUAACAAUUUUCUAAACUUUUUUCAAAUCUGUGAACUUAUUUCAAGUCCAUGAACUCUUUUCAAAUUUUCAAAUUUGUAAGUUUGUGAACUAUUUUGGAUUUAUGUUUUUUUGAAAUUUUGUACAUUUUUCAAAUUCAUGAACUUUUUCCAAAUCCACAAAUGUUUUCCCAAAUUUGUAAAGUUUUUUCAAAGGCAUGUUUUCUUUCAAACCCGUAAACUCUUUUCAAAUCCAUGAUUUUUUUUGAAUCUGCAAACCUUUUCAGCCUUGGAUAUUUUUUUGAAAAUCAUGAACUUUUUUUUCAGCUCCAAGAUUUUUUUCAAAAGUCAACUGGUCAACAGUAGUCCAACAGCCUCAACAAACUCCAGAGAUUUUAACGGGUGGAAAACAAACUCCGUUCAUUAUUUAGCGUCGGCGCUUCGGUGCAUGCGUUGGAGGAACUGGAUGCUUGACAUUUUUGUACAAAAACAAAAAGUCACCUAAACGCUCAACCUGGCGCUCAUUGGAAAGGGGGACUCCUGCACCAUGUAGAACCUGGGUGCCUCUAUCCCAUUUGGCCCAGUCUGAGAGCAUCUACAAUAAAUAAUGUAAAAUACUCCAUCUGUUCCUAAAUAUAUCUUUUUAGAUAUUUCAAUAAAGACUAUAUAUAAUAUAAAUGCUUGCCACAGAACUAGUUAAGGGUUUCAACGGUGUAAACGUUUUCAAAAAUUUUGAAAAAAAAAUACUGAACCAACACACCUAUAAUAUAACAUGAUCCAAGAGAGGGAUUAAAAAAAUACGACUGUAUGCAUCCUGGAAAAAAACAAAUAAUUCAGUAUAUAUUUAUGUCGCAGUGAGCUGAAAUGCUUAUUAUUUUUGUCGAAGACACAUAGAUGCAUAUUUUGACAAUCCCUCCAUUGGAUCAUCUUAUUGCAUUAGAGAGAUGCUCUCAUAUUUAUUUCAUAUUUUUUGAUAAGUUUUAAACCGUUAAAAGUUUAGCGACCUUUAACUAGUUCUAUGACAAGUUAUGGUAGUGUGUGUGUCUAUAUAUAGGGUGGGUCUAUUAUGAUAACACCCUUAAGACUCUUAUUCUGCUAACACUCAAGUUAUCUUCUAUAUCUAAAUAGCUAGCCCCCACUAAGAUAUUUCUCUCAACAUGCAAGUAUGCCACCUCAUCAUUCAACAUGCAUAAGAAAAAGUCCACCUCAACAUGCAACUAUGCAUAUUAAAAAUCCAGUACAACAUGCAUGCAUGUAAAAUUUCAUUUUAUUAUGCUAUUUAUAUUUAAUUCUUAUAUACUUUUAGAAACUAUUCUUUCAAGAAUUCAUGUUCCAUAUAAUCAAAAUCUCAUUGAAAUAUUGCAAACAUUCCCGCAACAACGUGCGGGGCAUCAUCUAGUUCUGAUAACACAUCGACAUUGCCCGCACACUGACCGAACCGCAGCAAAAGCCCACCCACCCCGUCUACUAAUCCCACGCCCCCACCUACCUCGAGCACUUGCUCCCUCCUCCCCACCACUCCCGACACCACCACCGGCACCCUCAACACCUCACCUAGCCCACUGCCUUCCCCGGCAGGCGCGCCCCAUCCCCCUGCAACCGUCGGCGCGCCCCAUCCCCCUCCAAUNNNNNNNNNNNNNNNNNNNNNNNNNNNNNNNNNNNNNNNNNNNNNNNNNNNNNNNNNNNNNNNNNNNNNNNNNNNNNNNNNNNNNNNNNNNNNNNNNNNNNNNNNNNNNNNNNNNNNNNNNNNNNNNNNNNNNNNNNNNNNNNNNNNNNNNNNNNNNNNNNNNNNNNNNNNNNNNNNNNNNNNNNNNNNNNNNNNNNNNNNNNNNNNNNNNNNNNNNNNNNNNNNNNNNNNNNNNNNNNNNNNNNNNNNNNNNNNNNNNNNNNNNNNNNNNNNNNNNNNNNNNNNNNNNNNNNNNNNNNNNNNNNNNNNNNNNNNNNNNNNNNNNNNNNNNNNNNNNNNNNNNNNNNNNNNNNNNNNNNNNNNNNNNNNNNNNNNNNNNNNNNNNNNNNNNNNNNNNNNNNNNNNNNNNNNNNNNNNNNNNNNNNNNNNNNNNNNNNNNNNNNNNNNNNNNNNNNNNNNNNNNNNNNNNNGCCACCCCUCCCCAGUCCACGUCCCAGCACGAGCCAACACCGGAUCAAGGCCGCGGCGGCACCCCGUGACGUCUCGCCGCCGAAUCCAGGCCAUGCCGACCCCCUGCGACUCCCAGCCGCCGGAUCCAGGCCAUGUCGGCCCUCCCACGGCUUCCAGUCGCCGAUCCAGGUCGCGCCUGCCCUCCCGCGCCGCCCUGUCACCGGAUCCAGGACGCACCGGUCUUUCCGUGGAUCCCGAGCUAUGGGGUCACUUCCACCGGCCUCCGGACUCCUCCAUCUCCCCAUGAUCUCCAACUCCGGCACCCACACCCUCACCCCUGCCCGACCUUCUUCCUACUCUCCCUCCAUCAUGGCUGCCUCCAGGAGGCAUGCUCAUCCCCUCCCGCACUGCAUCAACAUACGAGCCUCACUGCAUCGCCACGCGAGCCGCACUGCAUCACCGCUCCUCACUGACGUGGAUCCCGCAUCUCCCCACCAUCGGAUCCAGACAGCUGCUCGACUUCCGACGACUCCAGCCACCCCCACCCCUCUGGCUUCCUCUCCAUGCAGCAGCACCGCCACUACCUCGCCAUCCCAUAGCCGGAGCUUACGCUCUGCUCCUCGUCUCCUACCUCUUGCAUCAGCGGCGAUAUCCUCGUUCGGUUGUUGGGGGCUGUUCAUGCAGUUUGGAGCUUAUAAUUUUGCAGGAGGGAGGGGCGCGAGGAGGUCCGUCAGCGGCUCCGGCAUGCAGUUGGGGCGAUGUGUGGGUUGCAGCUCCCUUUGACGACAAAGGAGGUUCACAUGUCGCUACAACGCAGCUCGGUUGUCUCUCCGUUCCAGUUUGAUCGAGGCCCACAUCUCCUUCGAUUCAGUUCAGAAAGUGUAAUUCGAGUUGCGACGGGCAGUUUGUGCCCCCCACACACCAUUUGAUUUGGAUUAGUCUGUAAAAAAAGAGUCUUCUGUUAUUUGUGCACUGCAGUUGGGUUGCAGUCCAUUGCACCUGACGUGUAAAGUCGUGCGGUUUCGUCGGGGGACUACAGAAGGAAAAAAAUGUUUUUUGAAGUUUACUUUGUUAUUGAGUGUGUGAUAAAAAAAUUAAAAUUCAUAAAAUAGAUGCAGUCUGUUGAUACAAUGCUUGCGGUUCGCUCCGCUCGUGUGUGAAGUUCACUAAUGUCGAUAGUGUAGUCUUAGACGUGUUUAAAAAAGGUUAGAAAAACGACAAAAAUGUUAUGUAGUUCCCUUUGAUUUGUGUCGCGGUUCACUUCGCCCUCAUGUGAAGGGCACUCGGGCCGUGUGGUGUCAUGUGUUCAAAACAGUAAAUUGCAUCGGCACUUGCAGUGCACUUCGUCGUCGUGUGAAGUUCUCAGUGUCGCCAUUGCAGUGCGGUUGGCCAUCCUUUUAGAAGUAAAAUGUGAGUGUGGUUGUGUACAAAUCAUGCAGUCCACUUACACGUCUUAUGUAGUGCGUUUUUCAGUGCAAAGCAGUGCAGUUUUUAGUUUGAUGCAGUACAUACAAUGAUUUUGGUGUCGCAAAAAAACAGAGUGUCCGCAUUUUGUUAAAAUCAAAAUUAAUCUUAAAUCGUAAGGAAUUAGAGAGGGUGUUCUGCAUGAAAAAGUUGCGCCUCGUCGAUAUCUUUCCAACGGCGUAUAAUUUGAAUCAUUUCGACCAGCAGUUUAUAAAAAUUUCACGAAAAACGGCCGCUGCCUCUUGUCGUCAUCCGCACGAUUUUCAAAAUUAACUAAAAACCGUAAGGAAUCUCAAAACCAUUUCAACACGUGAAAGUUGCGCCUUGUCCAUAGCUUUCCAACGACAUAUUACAUGCCUCGUUUCGAUAAACGGUUAAAACACUAGAGCGAAAACAGUACCGGAAAUUUGAUUUUUUUUGAAAAACAGAAUUCCGUGAUUUAGUAAAUUUGAAACUACUCUUAAACCGUAAUGAAUUAUAGGAAGAAAUAGAUAUGAAAAAGAUGCGUCUCGACGAUAUCUAUCCAACGGUGUAUCAUUUGCUUCAUUCCGACGAGCGUUUUAGAAAAAAUGCAAAAAAAACGCUCGCUGCCACUCGUUUUGGGCCGCACCAUUUUCAAAACUGCUUUUAAACCGUGAGGAAUCUCGAAAUGUGUUCAACAUGGAGAAGUUGCGCCUAAUCCAUAGCUUUUCAACGAUAUAUUACACGCCUCGUUCCGACAAACGGUUAAAAAACUAGAGCGAAAACAGUACCAAAAAACACUGCAUGCAGUUUUUUGCCACGGGAAGUUCACUCGCCUCAAUACUGCAGCACACUUGGUUCAAACAAUGAGGUGCACUUGCGUUGAAUGUGAAGUGCCGAAGUGUUAUCAGAAUAACUAUUCUGAUAAUAUUAUCAGAAUAGACCGGCUGUGUAUACACACACACACACACACACACACACACACACAUACACACAUAAACACUAUUCUGAUCACAGGAUCAGAAUAAUAUUCUGAUCACAACAUGAACUUCCCGAGUAACGCGCCUGACCUUCCCCGAGUAGUAGGUUGAACUUCAGCUAAAAGGUGUCCAAAUGUGGCUUGCGAUAUACCGUUGGAUAGCUAUUGACAUCAGUAUCAUGACCCAACUUAAAUUUUUGGCAAAAUGUAAGCGGUUUAAGAGCAGUUUUGAAAACCGUUUUUUCUUCAUACAAAAAACGUGAAUCAUAUUUUCGAUCGCAUUUUUACACCGUUUAUCGGAAUGAGGCAAAUAAUAUGGCGUUGGAAAGCUGCUGCAAAACCGCUCCUUCCACAUGUUGAAAGUUUUCUCUAAUUCCCUACGGUUAAAGAGUAAUUCGGAAAAUCGUAGAAUUUCGCAAACGGAACACCCGAGUUUUUAUUUUCGAUGCCAUUUCUAAACGGCUAAUCCAAUUGAGGCAAAUAAUAUGACGUUGGAAAGCUUAUGAAAAUGUGCUACUUUUUCAUGUUUAAAGUUUUUUUUUCUAAUUUUGAACGGUUUAAAAGUAAUUUAGAAAACGGUACAAGUUCCACCGAGUUCGUAUUUUUGAGCUAAUUUUUAACCGUACGUCCAAAUGCAGCAAAUGAUAUGGAGUUGGAAAGCUUGAAGAAAUGCAAAACUUUUUUGUAUAUAUUGUUUCUCCUAAUUCAUUAUGGUUUUAUGUUAGUUUUGAAAAUGGUUUAAAACGUAUUUUUGCCGUAAUUUCUACAAACUUUGUUGGAAUGGGGCAAAUAAUAUACCGCUGAAAAUCUAUGGAAAAUUCGAAACUUUUUCAUGUUGAUGGUUUUCUCUGAAUCCUGGCCGUUUUCAAAUAAUUUUGAAAAUGGCGAGAUCAUGCAUUCUGCCUUUAUCGCGAAACAGAUUUUUCAAAUAUGCACCACGUGAAGAACUUGAACUUCUCAGUGUGUGUGCUUGAACUUCACUCUGUUUUUCACGUGUUUUUUUCUUGUAGAUCUCCAUCCACUUCAAGUAGCUCUCCAUCCAUUCACCAGAAUUGAGCAGGUGAUAUACCAAUGGAAAGCUGCUGUAAACACGCAAGUUUCCCGUAUUGAUCAUCUUUUCAUACUCGCGACAAUUUUAAAAGUUUUCCAUCUAAAAUUCAUUCAGCGUAGUAGUUGAACUUCCUACUGUUUUCACGUUGAACUUCCGUGACGUAUUUUUGUUUGUAGUUUUCUCAUCCACUUGUUAGUGUUACACAAAUAAUAUUCCUUUUGUGCAAACGUCUCUCACAAUAAUUUUUUUAACUUUCUCCGACCGAGGACUUGAACUUACACAAAUGAUAUUCCUGUCGUUUUGAGGUAAAUUAGAAAAUGGCAAGAUCAUGAUUUAUGCGUUCAUCGCGAACGAAAAUGCACUGUGUGAAGUAGUUGAACUUGUAGGGAAUGUUUGUUUGAACUUCACUCUGUUUUUGACGUGCUGUUUUUUGACAUGUUGCUUUUUGCACCGCGUGAAGUAGUUGAACUUCUGGGGCAUGUCUUCUUGAACUUCACUCUGUUUUCACUUUAUUGUAUUUUUCUUAUAUGAAAUACACACCAUGUAGCACGUGAACUUCCGGUUGUUAUCACUUUGAACCUCUCUUUGGUUUGAGAGAAUUAUUUUAAAACACAAAAAAACUAUUUUUAUGUAUUUUGGACAUCUAAAUACAUGGUGAACCUCUCUCACAAGAUUUUUUUUAACUUUUCCUCGCCGAGCACUUGAACUUCUAGCAACCAUUUUUUCGUUUAUGAGUUGUUUUUAAAAGUCCAAAAAAUGGCAUUGUGUUUUUAAUUUUUUGAACAUGUAAAUCCUAGGUUUUAAUAAACUCCAAACUUCUGUGUCAUUUCAAUUUGAACUUCACCUUUUUAUAUUUUGAUUAAAGAAUUGUAUUCGAUUUUUAUACGAAAAAAAUCGAGCAUGGAAAUACAAGGUGAACCUCUCUCGCAAGGAUUUUUGAACCUCCCCGGACAGAGCACUUGAACUUCUUUCAAGAAACAUUUUAUGCUUUUAUUUUUCUAUACUUUUAUUCUCACCUGAAAUGCAUUCCUCGCACUAGUUGAACUUCUCAUUGUUUUCACCUUGAACUUCUGUCACAUAUUUUUUGUUCAACCUCUCUCACAAGAAUUUUUGAACUUUCUUGGGCCGAGCACUUGAGCUUCUAGCAACAAAUUUUUUGUACUUUGCCUUUUUAUUCUUUCUUCUCUCAUACGAAAUGCACACCACAUAGUAAAUGAACUUCUGACAGUUAUCAAACCGAACUUCUCUCUAUUUCGUUUUCGUAACAGAAAAAGUCUGAGUUUUUUAUAUACAUCAAACCUCUCUAACUUUUUAUUUGAACUUCUUUGUGUAUUUUUUUAGAAAUGUGAAAAUUGGAGUUCUGUUAGAAACAUCGAACUUCUUCGUUAUUUUCAAUUGAACUUAUUGGUUUAUUUCUUUAGUAAUUGUAAACUCUGAAACUUCUGAAAUGGUUAAACAUACAAAACAAAAUUAUGGUUUUUUUCCAUUUUUCUAGAAGUCACUAUGUUACAUCUUGUGAAAUUUUUAUUUUUUUGUCGCGGCAUUCUAUUCAUUUUUUUGCUUUUGGUGAAAUGGCCUAGGCGGUCCCUUUUUCUCAUUCGAUAAAUUUCUUCUGUGUAUAGUACACGUGAACUUUAGAAUUUCCGAAACAUUAACUUAACGUGCUAUUGAAAAUCAAGAAAAUUAUGCACAACAAAACACAUACACUGCACGUGCUUCACACACAACCAACACAUACACUUCCUAGAAACGGAAAUAAUUUAAGACCAAAAAAACCUAGGACAACAACAACAGCUAAUCUAUCUCAGAAAUCUUUUUCCUCUCGCACUCAAGCUGAACUUCAGUAGCAGCACACCAACAACAGUUUGACGGUGCCUGAGAGGACGCCACCGACAGCAGCUAGCUGCUGGGAGAAGCUUUGUCACUGAGGGGGAAGAGGGAGGUCGGGAGGAACAGGACGGUGACCAGAGUUUUUCUAGAAACAAACACUGGAGGAGGCAGAGGGGCUGAGAGGCUCGGUGUUAGCAUUCUGUACAGGAGAUGGCAAAGGCGACCUGCUGGUGGUGGUGGCUGGCGACCCAGCAGCUCGGCAGCCCUCUGGCCGGAGGGCCGCGUGCAAGAUCUAUCAUCCAACCGCCUCUUUUCCUCUCUGCCGGAUGUGGCCACCAAGCAGCAAGUCAUGCCCUCAUCUUGCUGCAGGUCGAGCCCUCCUGGAGGUGCAGGUGGAUGGGCAGGUAGGCACGGUGGAUGGCGAGAGAGAGAGAGAGAGAGGAGCAUUCCACGAUGACGGUUGGCGCAGUCCGCAGCGACCACAACGCCCACGGAGGUCAUCCCUAUCCUAUAAGGACCGGGAUCUUGUCGGAUCCAUCUGUGCAGGCGGUCACGAGGGUGGCAGUUGCGGCGGCGUGUGCUGGAUGUGGCAGGCACGGCGAUGGGAGGGUUGGUGGAGAUGGUGAUGCGCGGGGUCCGAGGCAGCACCGACGAGCUGGGGUGUGAGGUGGUGGCGGCGUCGCGUGGGGUCAGGGGCGGCGUCGCGCGGGCUCUGUGGUGGCGGCGGCACGAGGGAUGAGGGGUGGUGGCGGCGGUGCGCGGGGUCAUUGUCGGUGGCGCGCGGGGUCAGCGGCGGNNNNNNNNNNNNNNNNNNNNNNNNNNNNNNNNNNNNNNNNNNNNNNNNNNNNNNNNNNNNNNNNNNNNNNNNNNNNNNNNNNNNNNNNNNNNNNNNNNNNNNNNNNNNNNNNNNNNNNNNNNNNNNNNNNNNNNNNNNNNNNNNNNNNNNNNNNNNNNNNNNNNNNNNNNNNNNNNNNNNNNNNNNNNNNNNNNNNNNNNNNNNNNNNNNNNNNNNNNNNNNNNNNNNNNNNNNNNNNNNNNNNNNNNNNNNNNNNNNNNNNNNNNNNNNNNNNNNNNNNNNNNNNNNNNNNNNNNNNNNNNNNNNNNNNNNNNNGUUGGUUGGGAUGUUUUUUUCUUCUGCGUGAUCUCAGGAACAGCUAAUCGGGCCCUUAUAGGGCGCGCCAUGAUCCAAAUAGCUAUUCUAAUCCUGGGAUUAGAAUAGUGCUACUAUAUAGCUUUUCAACGGUGUAUCGCAAUAAACACUAUUCUGAUCACGGGAUUAGAAUACAUACAUAAACACUAUUCUGAUCACGGGAUCAGAAUAAUAUUUUGAUCACAACCUAAACUGCUUGAGUAACGCGCCUGAACUUCCCUCUGUACGAACCCGACCUUCGGGCUAUCUUUGCAACCGCAGCUUCCCCUGCGAAUUAUUCUAGUUAGUCGUGUUCUAUAUGAUGUUAGUGUAAUCUAGAAACAUUUUAGCAACUAAAUACCAGUUUUAAAUAGGUAUCUCGCUCGUUGGCGGAUUUUGCUUUCGGGUCGUGAUAAAAUUGCGUUUUUUUCAAUUUUACUGCCUGAGUUGUUCGACCUGAACUUCCCCCAGUGUUAGGUUAAACUUCCGCCAACAUUGCCCAAAUGGGCUUGCGAUACACCGUUGGAAAGGUAUGGACACUAGUAUCAUGACCCAAGUUAAAUUCUUAUCAAAACGUAAGCGGUUUAAGAGCAGUUUUGAAAAUCGUUUUUUCUUCACAAAAAAAUGUGAAUCGUAUUUUCAAUCGCAUUUCAAAACCGUUUAUCGGAAUGAGGCAAAUAAUAUGGCAUUGGAAAGAUGCUGCAAAACCGCUCCUUCCACAUGUUGAAAGUUUUCUCUAGUUCCCUACGGUUAAAGAGUAAUUUGGAAAAUCGUAAAAUUUCACAAACCGAACAGCCGAGUUCGUAUUUUCGAUGUCAUUUCUAAACGGCUAAUCCAAUUGAGGCAAAUGAUAUGGCGUUGGAAAGCUUAUGAAAAUGCGCUACUUUUUCAUGUUGAAAGUUGUUUCUAAUUUUCAACGGUUUAAAAGUGAUUUAUAAAACAGUCCAAGUUGCACCGAGUUUGUAUUUUUGAGCUAAUUUUUUAACUGUACGUCCGAAUGUAGGAAAUGUUAUGGCGUUGGAAAGCUUGAGGAAAUACGAAACUUUUUGGUAUAUAUUGUUUCUCCCAAUUCCUUACUAUUUUAAUCAAUUUUGAAAAUGGCUAAAAACGUAUUUUCGCCUUAAUUUCUACAAACUUUAUCAGAAUUGAACAGAUAAUAUACCGUUGAAAAGCUAUGGAAAAUGCGAAACUUUUUCAUGUUGAUGGUUUUCUCUGAUUCCUAGCUAUUUUCAAGUAAUUUUGAAAACGGCGGGAUCAUUCGUUCCGCCUUUAUCGCGAAACAGAGUCUUCGAAAAUGCACCGCGUGAUGAACCUGAACUUCCCGGCAUGUCUACUUUAACUUCACUCUGUUUUUCACAUGCUUUUUUUGGUCGCAGCGCUCCAUCCACUACUCGUAGCUCUCGGUCCACUCCCAGAAUUGAGCAAGUGAUAUACUGAUGGAAAGCUGCUGUAAACACGCAAUUUUCCCGUGUUGAUCAUUUUUUCAUACUCAUGGCGGUUAUAAAAGUUUUUUCUCUAAAAUCCAAGCGUAGUAGUUGAACUUCGUGUUGUUUUCACGUUGAACUUCUAUGACGUAUUUUUUUUGUAAUUUUCUCAUUGAUUCGUCAGUGUUACACAAAUGAUAUUUCUUUUGUACAAACCUCUCUCACCAUAAUUUUUUGCACUUUCUCCGACCGAGGACUUGAACUUACACAAAUGAUAUUCAUUACUAUAGGGAAAAGUCCUAGUUAUGUAAUAAACAUCGAACGACUCACUUCUUUAAACUUUAACUUCCAGAUCUUAAAAUAACAGUGGCAAAUCCAUGUUUACAAACUUUUUAAACUGAUCGUUUUUCUAAUUUGACCCUCCUGGUUUUUUAUAAACAUUUUGAACUUCUAUGUUUUUUAAAUUGGAACUUCUCCAAUUUUUUUAAUAAAAUGUAGAAACACCUUUUUUUAUAAACUUUUUGAACUGCUCCAUUUUUAGUUUUUGAACUUCUUGGUUUAUUCUGUAGUGACGGCGAAAAUUACAGGUUUGUAAUAAACAUUGAACCGCCGUAUUAUAUAAAUUUGAACUUCAAGUUACUUUUUAGAAAUGGUUAAACUUACAAAACAAAAUUAUGUUUUCCACCAUUUCUAUGAACUUACUAUGUUAUAUCUUUUGCAGUUUUAUUUUUUCAAUUUGACAUUCUUGAUAUUGUAAUAAACAUGGAACUUCCCCAUUAUUUAAAUUAGAACCUCUAGGUUUUUUUGUAGAACGGGGAUAUUCCAUUUCCUCUAUAAAUUUUGAGCUGCUCUAUUUUUUUAAUUUGGCCUUCUUGGGUUAUUAUUUAGUAACGGAAAAAAUCCUAAUGUAAUAAUAAGCAUUGAACCGCUCUGCUAUUUGUAUUUGAACUUCUAGUAUUUUACGAGAAAAUCACCAUUUUAGGUUUUAUUUUUCUUUUAGUAAUGAAAAAAAUCGCAAUAAUUUUUCGUAAACAUCGAACUUCCUUCUCUUCUCUGUUCUUUUUUCGUUGUACAUGAGAAAAUAUAUUUUUUCUCAUUUUUGUGUACUAAGCACACACACGCACAUCACAUCCACAAUUUUUUGGUAGUCAAAUGAAAAAGGUUACACUCCCACAAGCAUAAACAAACGAACUUCCCUGAAUUUUUUAGCAUAAUACAUGAACUUCUCUGGUACAAAAUUGUUUUGUCUCUGAUACUAGUGGGUGGAGCCUCACAAGUGGCGGUGCUGGUUGUCGGACAGGCGAGAGGAAGAAUGGUGAUGCUGGGGAAGGUCUGAUUUAGUCAUUGCUGUAGUCCACGCACCACAACAUGGACUUCUUGGUUUUUAUUACUUUUUGUAGUAACGAAAAAAAUCUUAGUUUUAUUUUAAUAACCUUCAAACCGUUGUGUUUUUACGCCUCGGGGACGACCAUGCAAACAUCAGGAAUUAGGAAGAUCUAUUUUUCAGUACAUCUUCUCAAAAAUGCACAUUUUUACUCUAUGCGAACUUCAAGUUUUUUUAUACAUGAAUUUCAUUAUGAAUUUUCAUUUUAUUUCUGCACGUGAAUUUCAUACUUGGACUUUUUAUCAUGUUACAAUUUUUUGAACUUUUUUUCUUAUAUUUGAACUUCUUUCUCUUUCUCUUAUAUACAAAAAAAGAAAGUAAAACCACCCGUUCUUUUCCUAUGAACUUGCCGAGCUAAAAAAAUUAAACUCAUUCUAGAUUUAAAAAAUCAACUUCUAAAUUUUUGUUUCAUGAAUUCCUUGGUAUUAAUACAUGAACUUUUCAAUAGGACAAUUUCUAAGUUGCAAAACAUGCACAAAAAGAGAAGAAGGAAAGAUGUAAAAUGAGUGUGCAAAAGCUAUAGAAAUUUGGGGAUAAUUUGAGCAUAAGAAUCAGCAGCAAAAAGACAGUGGCAGACUUACAUUUCUCCACCACACAUUCUCAAAUGACCUGGCCACACAGUAACUACAUGCACCCAAUCCUUUUUACAUAAAAAUGCACUAACUAGUGGCAGACUUACAUUUCUCCACCACACAUUCCCUUCGUAUCUUGUCUCACGUUAUCCACAAAGUGUUGAUGCGUUAUCUUCUUCGUGCUUUUGUUCUUAUUACCUGUACUCUGAAACAAGCAACAUCUUGAUUCAGAAAGCAACCGUAAUGGUGGCCAAUUUUCUGGAGAAGCUUCCAUGCAUUCUUCUUUUUGCAGUUGGACUUGCCCAUCAGGAGAAGCUAACCUGCAAUGGUGGCCAAUUUUCUGGAGGGAUUCUGGAGUUGGCCAGCGGGGCAGCCCGGGGUGUUAGAGGCAAGGGCACGUCUAGGUAGCCAAGAGUACGACCGCCAACAACGUGCAGGGUCUACAACAAGGCCAUGGGCGCUGUCUUCCACGGGAUGUAGGUAGCGACAAGCAGAGCGGCGUCUCCGCCAGGAACAAUUUUGGAUGUAGGGUCACGCACAACUCACCACCAUGGUUGCUGGAGAAGUCGCGGCGAGCUAAGGGGCUGCAGCACACGAGGUACGAAUAUACAUGAGAUAUCUUUUUAACAUGUACAGUACAUGGAGAUCCCAGUAUACAUAAAUAUUUUUAGGCAAAUGGCAACUAGCGACAUGUGGAAACAGAAAGAAAGUCCCAGCUGAAUGCUUGCCACCCGUGGUAGGUAAUAAACUAAAACUUUGAACGAAAAAUGUUAAGAGGGAAUUGGUCUCAGAAGAAGUCUCCCUUCACUAGAUUCAGUAGAAGUUGAAUUGGAUGGUGGGCAGCAGGAUCUAGGCUGAUGUGUUCAUGGAUGGCCAGCGGCUCUGUCGUUGAACGGCCCGUGGCUGUGUAGUUCAAAGGCUCGGGUUGCUUUGGGAGGACGCAGGGCGCCCUGCAGAUCGGAUCAAGGUGAGGGUGCUCUCCACUACCUAGAAGAAAAGGCUCUGAAGGACAAAACACACACACACAAGAACAACUGCACAUUAGGAUUUCUAAAUGGUCCUCUGUUUGUAGACAUAAAGUAUGAACACAUGCAUUAGCAUGUACAUCUCAGUUCCUCACAUUAUACAUGGUUAAUUCUUUUUUAACAGCAUAUGAAAUGAAUUGUCAAAUCGAUACUCAGAAAUGGGCUCCCUUUUAUGAAGAUCAAUACAGACCCAAUCGUCCAUGGUUCUUCUUUUAACAUACUAAGAUGAACAGCAGAGAACCAGCAAAACUGAAUUUGCAAACAAUAUUGUAGAAGCAACAAAGUUUCCUGUAGCUUUGAACGAGUAGAGCUGAUUUGGAAGAAGUGGUGCAGGGGUUGAAGCAAGAGAUGAUGGGAAGGUCAAUCAAAGGAGCUGCAGAAGGUCACACAUGAAGGAUGCCAAGGCAGCAUGUGCAGAGUUGAGUGAAGGAGCAUGGUGUGUUUGCAUAGAGGGCAUGCCGAUUGGGUAAUGCCCCUGGGCGGCGGCUUCGGGGAGCAAGGGCGUUGGUGCAGGGGGCUGGCGGAUAAUGGGAGCAGGGCAGCAGACCCCGGGAGGAGCCAAUGGUUUGGCAGGUCAAUCUCAUUUUCUCCAGCAGGAUCCUCACGCGGGGGCGGCGAGUGGCUCUGGCGUGCUGCAGGAGAUGCUAGGAGGAUCCCUCGAACUUCCUCCGGAAUCAGCCUCGAACUUCUACCGACAAAGCGCCAGCGGUGCUAUGGGAGGAGGUCGACGUCGGCGUCGCAGUAGAAGGCUUGCGGCGGCGUCACGCUAGGUGGGGUAGGCGGCCUGUGUUGAUUCCCGGUUGGGGGUUUCCAGGGGAAGCGGUGCACGGGGUUGGAGGGGUGGCGGCGCCUGCGGUCAGGGGAGGCGGCACCUGGGUUGGGGGCGACGGCCCCUGGGGUUGAGGGCGGCGGCGAUUGGGUGGUCCCCGGUGAUGGGUGGGUCGGUGGUUUCUUGGGUGGCGGCGGGGAUCCAGGGGAGAGAGGUGCGGGAGGUGGGGAACAGUGGUUGGUGCUUUUUUUGCAUCUUUGGGAUUUGAGGAACACCGUGUCGCUCCCUAUAUAGGGCCCCAUGAUCCAAAUAGUUAUUCUAAUCCUGGGAUUAGAAUAGUGCCACUAUAUAUAUAUACACACACAUACAUACAUACAUACAUACAUAUUUUAGAGUGUUGAUUCACUCAUUUUGCUUCGUAUGUAGUUCACAUUGGAAUCUCUAAAAGACUUAUAUUACGGAACAGAGGGAAUACAUCAUCAAAUUAUGCUUCGAGUAAAAUUUACAUCAUAAAAAAACCUUUUUAUAUCACCAAAAACAUUCAACUCAAACAGAUAAUGUAAAAAUAGGUGUUGCAGCGAAUCAACCUUUGGUCGGAUUGUUAGAGGGACAGUGAUAUCCCCAGCCCACCAGGGUUCAAGUCCUGGUGCUUGCAUUAUUCCUGGAUUUAUUUCAGGAUUUCCAAUGAUGCGCUUUCAAUGUGAGGAGAUGUUCCCAUCGACAACGAGGCUCCUAUGGUGACUUUAUAAAUCUCAAGAUGAUAUACCGAUUCAGUCUCUCGAAGGUGCUCAUAGAGGUAGAUGUGCGUGUGUGCAUUCAUGGGGUGAGUGUAUGCACGUAUGUAUGAGCGCUUGCGUCUGUAUUGUCUUAAAAAGUAAGGUGUUGCAAUGCAUCACGGUUGUCUUUUUAUGGGUGCCAUAUUUUACACCAUCUAUUGGAUCACCUGAUGGAAAAAUAGCAGUUGGCGAUGCAUAUUUUGCUCUAAUAGUGUGGUCCCUGUUGGGGAACGUGGUAUUUCAAAAUUUUCCUAUGCACAUGCAAGAUCCCUCCAGGCGAUGCAUAGCAAAGAGCGGGAAAGAGUAUGUCUACGUACCCUUGUAGACCGAAAGCGGAAGCGUUAUGAAACACAGUUGAUGUAGUCGAACGUCUUCGCGAUCCAACCGAUCAAGUACCGAACGCACGGCACCUCCGCGAUCUGCACACGUUCAGCUCGGUGACGUCCCUCGUACUCUUGAUCCAGCUAAGGCCGAGGGAGAGUUUCGUCAGCACGAUGGCGUGAUGACGGUGAUCAUGAAGUUACCGAUGCAGGGCUUCGCCUAAGCACUACAACGAUAUGACCGAGGUGGAAAUCUAUGGAGCGGGGCACCACACACGGCUAAGACAACUAUCAACUUGUGUGUCUAUGGGGUGCCCCCUCCCCCAUAUAUAAAGAAGGGGAGGAGGGGAGGGCCGACCCUCUCUAUGGCGCACCCAAGGGGGAGUCCUACUCCCAGAAGGAGUAGGUUCCCCCCUUCCCUAGUUGGAGUAGGAGAAGAAGGAAGAGGGAGAAAGAGGGAAGGAAAGGGGGGGGGGGGGCAACCCCCACCCAAUUCGGAUUGGGCUUGGGGGGCGCGCGCCCUCCACCUGGCCUCCUCCUCCUCCCUCCCACUAAGGCCCAAUAAGGCCCAUUGACUCCCCGGGGUGUUCCGGUAACCCCCCGGUACUCCGGUAAAUGCCCGAACUCAUCCGGAAUCAUUCUGAUGUCCAAACAUAGCCUUCCAAUAUAUCGAUCUUUAUGUAUCGACCAUUUUGAGACUCCUCGUCAUGUCCGUGAUCACAUCCGGGACUCCGAACUACCUUCGGUACAUCAAAACACAUAAACUCAUAAUAGCAAUCGUCAUCGAACAUUAAGCGUGUGGACCCUACGGGUUCGAGAAAUAUGUAGACAUGACCGAGACUCACUUCCGGUCAAUAACCAAUAGCAGAACCUGGAUGCUCAUAUUGGUUCCUACAUAUCCUAUGAAGAUCUUUAUCGGUCAAACCGCAUAACAACAUACGUUGUUCCCUUUGUCAUUGGUAUGUUACUUGCCCAAGAUUCGAUCAUCGGUAUCUCAAUACCUAGUUCAAUCUCGUUACCGGCAAGCCUCUUUACUCGUUUUGUAAUGCAACAUCCCGCAACUAACUCAUUAGUCACAUUGCUUGCAAGGCUUAUAGUGAUGUGCAUUACCGAGAGGGCCCAGAGACACCUCAACAAUCGGAGUGACAAAUCCUAAUCUCGAUCUAUGCCAACUCACCAAACACCAUCGGAGACACUUGUAGAGCAUCUUUAUAGUCACCCAGUUACAUUGUGAUGUUUGAUAGCACAAUAAGUGUUCCUCCGGUAUUCAGGAGUUGCAUAAUCUCAUAGUCAUAUGAACAUAUAUAAGUCAUGGAGAAAGCAAUAGCAAUAAACUAAAUGAUCAUAGUGCUGAGCUAACGCAUGGGUCAAGUCAAUCACAUCAUUCUCUAAUGAUGUGAUCCCGUUCAUCAAAUGACGACUCAUGUCUAUGGUUAGGAAACUUAACCAUCUUUGAUUAACGAGCUAGUCAAGUAGAGGCAUACUAGUGACACUCUGUUUGUCUAUGUAUUCACACAUGUGCUAAGUUUCCGGUUAAUACAAUUCUAGCAUGAAUAAUAAACAUUUAUCAUGAUAUAAGGAAAUAUAAAUAACAACUUUAUUAUUGCUUCUAGGGCAUAUUUCCUUCAGUCUCCCACUUGCACUAGAGUCAAGAAUCUAGAUUACACAAUAAUGAUUCUAACACCCAUGGAGUCUUGGUGUUGAUCAUGUUUUGCUCGUGAGAGAGGCUUAGUCAACGGGUCUGCAACAUUCAGAUCCGUAUGUAUCUUGCAAAUCUCUAUGUCUCCCUCCUUGACUUGAUCGCGGAUGGAAUUGAAGCGUCUCUUGAUGUGCUUGGUUCUUUUGUGAAAUCUGGAUUCCUUUGCCAAGGCAAUUGCACCAGUAUUGUCACAAAAUAUUUUCAUUGGACCCGAUGCACUAGGUAUGACACCUAGAUCGGAUAUGAACUCCUUCAUCCAGACUUCUUCGUUUGCUGCUUCCGAAGCAGCUAUCUACUCCGCUUCACACGUAGAUCCCGCCACGACGCUUUGCUUAGAACUGCACCAACUGACAGCUCCACCUUUCAAUAAAAACAUGUAUCCGGUUUGUGACUUCGAGUCAUCCGGAUCAGUGUCAAAGCUUGCAUCGACGUAAUCGUUUACGACGAGCUCUUUGUUACCUCCAUAUACGAGAAACAUAUCCUUAGUCCUUUUCAAGUAUUUUAGUAUGUUCUUGACCGCUGUCCAGUGAUCCACUCCUAGAUUACUUUGGUACCUCCUUGCUAAAAUUAUAGCAAGGCACACAUCAGGUCUGGUACAUAGCAUUUCAUACAUGAUAGAGCCUAUGGCUGAAGCAUAGGGAACAUCUUUCAUUUUCUCUCUAUCUUCUGCACUGGUCGGGCAUUGAGUCUGACUCAACUUCACACCUUGUAACACAUGCAAGAACCCUUUCUUUGCUUGAUCCAUUUUGAACUUCUUCAAAACUUUAUCAAGGUAUGUGCUUUGUGAAAGUCCAAUUAAGCGUCUUGAUGUAUCUCUAUAGAUCUUGAUGCCCAAUAUAUAGGCAGCUUCACCGAGGUCUUUCAUUGAAAAAUUCUUAUUCAAGUAUCCUUUUAUGCUAUUUAGAAAUUCAGUAUCAUUUCUGAUCAGCAAUAUGUCAUCCACAUAUAAUAUCAGAAAUGCUACAGAGCUCCCACUCACUUUCUUGUAAAUAUAGGCUUCUCCAAAAGUCUGUAUAAAACCAUAUGCUUUGAUCAAACUAUCAAAGCGUAUAUUCCAACUCCGAGAGGCUUGCCCCAGUCCAUAAAUGGAUUGCUAGAGCUUGCACACUUUGUUAGCACCUUUUGGAUCGACAAAACCUUCCAGUUGCAUCAUAUACAACUCUUUAAGAUAUCCAUUAAGGAAUGCAGUUUUGACAUCCAUUUGCCAAAUUUCUUAAUCAUAAAAUGCGACAAUUGCUAACAUGAUUUGAACGGACUUAAGCAUCGCUACGAGUGAGAAGGUCUCAUCGUAGUCAACUCCUUGAACUUGUCGAAAACCUUUCGCAACAAGUCAAGCUUUGUAGACAGUAAUAUUACCAUCAGCGUUAGUCUUCUUCUUAAAGAUCCUUUUAUUCUCUAUGGCUUGCCGAUCAUCGGGCAACUCAACCAAAGUCCACACUUUGUUCUCAUACAUGGAUCCCGUCUCAGAUUUCAUGGCCUCAAGCCAUUUUGCGGAAUUUGGGCUCAUCAUCGCUUCCUCAUAGUUCGUAGGUUCGUCAUGGUCAAGUAACAUGACUUCCAGAACAGGAUUACCGUACCACUCUAGUGUGGAUCUUACUCUAUUUGACCUACAAGGUUCGGUAGUAACUUGAUCAGAAGUUUCAUGAUCAUCAUCAUUAGCUUCCUCACUUACUGGUGUAGGAAUCACUGGAACUGAUUUAUGUGAUAAACUACUUUCCAAUAAGGGAGCAGGUACAGUUACCUCAUCAAGUUCUACUUUCCUCCCACUCACUUCUUUCGAGAGAAACUCCUUCUCUUGAAAGGAUCCAUUCUUAGCAAUGAAUAUCCUGCCUUCGGAUCUGUGAUAGAAGGUAUACCCAACAGUCUCUUUUGGGUAUCCUAUGAAGACACAUUUCUCCGAUUUGGGUUCGAGCUUAUCAGGUUGAAGCUUUUUCACAUAAGCAUCGCAACCCCAAACUUUAAGAAACGACAACUUGGGUUUCUUGCCAAACCACAGUUCAUAAGGUGUCAUCUCAACGGAUUUUGAUGGUGCCCUAUUUAACGUGAAUGCAGCCGUAUCUAAAUCAUAACCCCAAAACGAUAGCGGUAAAUUAGUAAGAGACAUCAUAGAUCGCACCAUAUCUAAUAAAGUGCGGCUACGUCGUUUGGACACACCAUUACGCUGUGGUGUUCCAGGUGGCGUGAGUUGCAAAACUAUUCUGUAUUGUUUCAUAUGAAGACCAAACUCGUAACUCAAAUAUUCUCCUCCACGACUUAAUUUUCUUGUUAUGAUGAUUUUCCACUUCACUCUGAAAUUCUUUGAACUUUGCAAAUGUUUCAGACUUAUGUUUCAUCAAGUAGAUAUACCCAUAUCUGCUCAAAUCAUCUGUGAAGGUCAGAAAAUAACGAUACCCGCCACGAGCAUCAACACUCAUCGGACAGCAUACAUCGGUAUGUAUAAUUUCCAAUAAGUCUGUUGCUCGUUCCAUUGUUCUGGAGAACGGAGUCUUAGUCAUCUUGCCCAUGAGGUAUGGUUCACAAGCAUCAAGUGCUUCAUAAUCAAGUGAUUCCAAAAGCCCAUCAGCAUGGAGUUUUUUCAUGCGCUUUACACUAAUAUGACCUAAACGGCAGUUCCACAAAUAAGUUGCACUAUCAUUAUUAAACUUAUAUCUUCUGGCUUCAAUACUAUGAAUAUGUGUAUCACUACUAUCAAGAUUUAGUAAAAAUAGACCACUCAUCAAGGGUGCAUGACCAUAAAAGAUAUUACUCAUAUAAAUAGAACAACCAUUAUUCUCUGAUUUAAAUGAAUAGCCGUCUCACAUCAAACAAGAUCCAGAUAUAAUGAUCAUGCUCAAUGCUGGCACCAAAUAACAAUUAUUUAGGUCUAAAACUAAUCACGAAGUUAGAUGUAGAGGUAGCGUGCCGACGGCGAUCACAUCGACUUUGGAACAAUUUCCCACGCGCAUCGUCACCUCGUCCUUAGCCAAUCUUCGCUUAAUCUGUAGCCCCUGUUUCGAGUUGCAAAUGUUAGCAACUGAACCAGUAUCAAUUACCCAGUCACUACUGCGAGCAUUAGUAAGGUACACAUCAAUAAAAUGUAUAUCAAAUAUACCUUUCACUUUGCCAUCCUUCUUUUCUGCCAAAUACUUGGGGAAGUUCUGCUUCGAGUGACCAGUCCCUUUGCAGUAGAAGCACUCAGUCUCAGGCUUAGGUCCAAACUUGGGCUUCUUCACUUGAGCAGCAACUUGCUUGUCGAUCUUCUUGAAGUUCCCCUUCUUUCCUUUACACCUUUUCUUGAAACUAGUGGUCUUGUUGACCAUCAACACUUGAUGCUCCUUCUUGAUUUCUACCUCCGCAACCUUUAGCAUUGCGAAGAGCUCGGGAAUCAUCUUAUCCAUCCCUUGCAUAUUAUAGUUCAUCACGAAGCUUUUGUAGCUUGGUGGCAGUGAUUGAAGAACUCUGUCAAUGACACUAUCAACUGGAAGAUUAACUCCCAGCUGAGUCAAGUGAUUCUGGUACCCAGACAUUUUGAGUAUAUGUUCACUGACAGAACUAUUCUCCUCCAUUUUGCAACUGUAGAACUUAUUGGAGACUUCAUAUCUCUCAAUCCUGGCAUUUGCUUGAAAUAUUAACUUCAACUCCUGGAACAUCUCAUAUGCUCCAUGACGUUCAAAACGUUGUUGAAGUCCCGGUUCUAAGCCGUAAAGCAUGGCACACUGAACUAUCGAGUAGUCAUCAGCUUUGCUCUGCCAGGUGUUCAUAACAUCUGGCGUUGCACCUGCAGCAGGUUUGGCACCUAGCGGUGCUUCCAGGACGUAAUUCUUCUGUGCAGCAAUGAGGAUAAUCCUCAAGUUACGAACCCAGUCCGUGUAAUUGCUACCAUCAUCUUUCAACUUAGCUUUCUCUAGAAACGCAUUAAAAUUCAAUGGAACAACAACACAGGCCAUUUAUCUACAACAACAUAGACAUGCAAAAUACUAUCAGGUACUAAGUUCAUGAUAAAUUAAAGUUUAAUUAAUCAUAUUACUUAAGAACUCCCACUUAGAUAGACAUCCCUCUAAUCAUCUAAGUGAUCACGUGAUCCAUAUCAACUAAACCAUGUCCGAUCAUCACGUGAGAUGGAGUAGUUUUCAAUGGUGAACAUCACUAUGUUGAUCAUAUCUACUAUAUGAUUCACGCUCGACCUUCCAGUCUCAGUGUUCCGAGGCCAUAUCUGCAUAUGCUAGGCUCCUGAAGUUUAACCCGAGUAUUCUGUUUGUGCAAAACUAGCUUGCACCCGUUGUAUGUGAACACAGAGCUUAUCAACACCCGAUCAUCAUGUGGUGUCUCGGGACGAUGAACUGUAGCAACGGUGCAUACUCAGGGAGAACACAUAUACCUUGAAAUUUUGUGAGAGAUCAUCUUAUAAUGCUACUGCCGUACUAAGCAAAAUAAGAUGCAUAAAGGAUAAACAUCACAUGCAAUCAAUAUAAUUGAUAUGAUAUGGCCAUCAUCAUCUUGUGCCUUUGAUCUCCAUCUCCAAAGCACCGUUAAGAUCACCAUCAUCACCGGCUUGACACCUUGAUCUCCAUCGUAGCAUCAUUGUCAUCUCGCCAACUAUUGCUUCUACGACUAUCGCUACCGCAUAGUGAUAAAGUAAAACAAUUACAUGGCAAUUGCAUUUCAUACAAUAAAGCGACAACCAUAUGGCUCCUGCCAGUUGCCGAUAACUGUGUUACAAAACAUGAUUAUCUCAUACAACAAUUCAUAUAAUCACGUCUUGACCAUAUCACAUCACAACAUGCCCUGCAAAAACAAGUUAGACGUCCUCUACUUUGUUGUUGCAACUUUUACAUGGCUGCUACGGGCUUAGCAAGAACCGUUCUUACCUACGCAUUAAAAACCACAACACGGUAUAGUGAUUGCUUUUGAUCUUCAGAAAGAACCCUGUUCAUUGAAUCAGAUUCAACUAAAGUUGGAGAAAUAGACACCCACUAGCCACCUGUGUGCGAAGCACGUCAGUAGAAACACAUAAUGUCGGUCUGAGCCGCUUCAUCGAACAAUACCGCUGAAUCAAGAAUCAACUAGUGACAGCAAGCAAUAUGUAUAUACCAACGCCCACAACUCCUUUGUGUUCUACUCAUGCAUAUAACAUCUACGCAUAGACCUGGCUCUGAUGCCACUAUUGGGGAACGUAGUAUUUCAAAAUUUUCCUAUGCACAUGCAAGAUCCAUCUAGGUGAUGCAUAGCAACGAGCGGGGAAGAGUAUGUCUAUGUACCCUUGUAGACCGAAAGCAGAAGCAUUAUGAAACGCGGUUGAUGUAGUCGAACGUCUUCGCGAUCCAACUGGUCAAGUACAGUACGCACAACACCUCCACGAUCUGCACACGUUCAGCUCGCUGACGUCCCUCGUACUCUUGAUCCAGCUGAGGCCGAGGGAGAGUUUCGUCAGCAUGAUGGCGUGAUGAUGGUGAUGAUGAAGUUAUCGACGCAUGGCUUCGCCUAAGCACUACAACGAUAUGACCGAGGUGGAAAUCUGUGGAGGGGGGCACCGCACACGGCUAAUACAACUAUCAACUUGUGUGUCUAUGGGGUGCCCCCUCCCCCUUAUAUAAAGGAGUGGAGGAGGGGAGGGCCGGCCCUCUUUAUGGCGCGCCCAAGGGGGAGUCCUACUCCCAGAAGGAGUAGGUUUCCUCCCUUCCCUAGUUGGAGUAGGAGUAGAAGGAAGAGGGAGAAAGAGGGAAGGAAAGGGGGGCACCCAAUUUGGAUUAGGCUUGGGAGGGGGUCGCCCUCCACCUGGCCGCCUCCUCCUCUCUCCCACCAAGGCCCAAUAAGGCCCAUUGACUCCUCGGGGGGUUCCAGUAACCCCCCCGGUACUCCGGUAAAUGCCUGAACUCAUUCGGAACCAUUCCGAUGUCCAAACAUAGCCUUCCAAUAUAUCGUUCUUUAUGUCUCAACCAUUUUGAGACUCCUCGUCAUGUCCGUGAUCACAUAUGGGACUCCGAACUACCUUCGGUACAUCAAAACACAUAAACUCAUAAUACCGAUCGUCAUCGAAUGUUAAGUGUGCGGACCCUACGGGUUCAAGAAUUAUGUAGACAUGACCGAGAAUCACUUUCGGUCAAUAACCAAUACCGGAACCUGGAUGCUCAUAUUGGUUCCUACAUAUCCUACGAAGAUCUUUAUCGGUUAAACCGCAUAACAACAUACAUUGUUCCCUUUGUCAUUGGUAUGUUACUUGCUCGAGUUUUGAUCGUUGGUAUCUCAAUACCUAGUUCAAUCUCGUUACCGGCAAGUCUCUUUACUCACUCUGUAAUGCAACAUCCUGCAACUAACUCAUUAGUCACAUUUCUUGCAAGGCUUAUAGUGAUGUGCAUUACCGAGAGGGACCAGAGAUACCUCUCCGAUAAUCGGAGUGACAAAUCCUAAUCUCGAUCUAUGGCAACUCAACAAACACCAUCGGAGACACCUGUAGAGCAUCUUUAUAGUCACCCAAUUACGUUGUGAUGUUUGAUAGCACACUAAGUGUUCCUCCGGUAUUCGGGAGUUGCAUAAUCUCAUAGUCAUAGGAACAUGUAUAAGUCAUGGAUAAAGCAAUAGCAAUAAACUAAACGAUCAUAGUGCUAAGAUAACGGAUGGGUCAAGUCAAUCACAUCAUUCUUUAAUGAUGUGAUCCCGUUCAUCAAAUGACAACUCAUGUCUAUGGUUAGGAAACUUAACCAUCUUUGAUUAACGAGCUAGUCAAGUAGAGGCAUACUAGUGACACUCUGUUUGUCUAUGUAUUCACACAUGUACUAAGUUUCCAGUUAAUACAAUUCUAGCAUGAAUAAUAAACAUUUAUCAUGAUAUACGGAAAUAUAAAUAACAACUUUAUUAUUGCCUCUAGGGAUAUUUCCUUCAGUCCCCUGGUGAUGUAAAAUUUUCUCAAGAGCAUCAAGUGACGUAAAUUUUCAUUACUUGGUGGCCUAUUUUACAUCAGCCCUAUUCCCGAGCAAAAAUAUUUGCAUUACGUUAUCUAUUGGAGCAACGAUUUUGCCCUCUCUUGUAGAGAUGCCUUGGAAGCAUAAUUAUGUGCGUGUAUGAAGGGGUUAUCAUCUGCCUUAAUGAGACCAAGCUUCUUGUCAAAGUGGAGGUGGAUUCACUUGAAUUGAUCAAGCAGGUGCAAUCCAUCGACAACAAUAGAUCAAUUUAUGCUUAUCUAUUCAAAGAGAUUAAGCAUAUAAUGAGCAUCCGUGAGAGUAGUAUUACCCAUAUUAUUAGACCCGAGAAUAAAGUUAGUAGUUGUUUAGCUAUUUUCACUAGAGAGGAAGGGAGAACUAUGACGUGUUUAGGCUUUGGUCCUCCUAGAGCUUUGGAACUUGCAUCUUCUGAUUGUAAUCCUGCCGGGGGUUGAGUAAUACAAGUUUCAGUUCAUGAAAGAAAAUGUUUUUCCCUCUCAUGAUGUAAAAAGUGGUCCCAACCUAUUUUACACCAUCUCCUUCCUUUGGCUCGUCUCCUUCCUUUCCUUACUUUGUUCUAUACCUAGUGUUCGCUAGGUGCGUUCUCCUCUUUAAUCAUUUGGUUAUUUUUCUACUCUCCUUUUCCUAAUGGGUUGAUGAAAUUUGGCUGCUCCUGUCGACAUUCAAAAAUAAGUUCCACAAUCUUACCCGCGAGAGGUGGUAUGUGGGCUAUGUAGUUGAUCACAAUUCAAGAUAUGCAGUAAUGGCCAGCCCACAUUACAUCGACAUGCAUGGUUAGCAGUUGUUCUCACUGGCCAUUGUUGUUUAGGUCAUCUCUAGUACUUCCCUGAGCUUAACUUUCUAAACGAGCGCUCAAACCAUAACUUCUCAAAUUCGAGGAGUUAAAAACUAUGCACCUAACACUCAACUUCCUUUUUUGUGGCUAAUUCUUGCAUCCUUUUGCAUAUUACUCCAUUUGUACUACAUUUACACAUAUUCAUUUGGAACUUCAUAUUUCCAAAGCAGCAAUUUCAACAACAUCUGCAUUCAAUGUUUUCAAAUGUAAAUAUUCAAAUUUCAACACACCAUAUGGUCCAAAUGAAGUAACGAUCAAAAUACAAAAAAUGAUAAAAGCACACGAAUCAAGUGCUAUGAUGUGCCCACAAGUGCACCAAGAUCAUCCUAGACUUGGUACUGAGCUUUUCGGUUCUCAAUCUUACUACGCGUUGCAAGGAAUCUUUGUAUCCUAUUUGCUUGAUGUUGCAGCUGGACAAGUUCCUGAAGGAAAUAUGCCCUAGAGGCAAUAAUAAAGUUGUUAUUUUAUAUUUCCUUAUAUCAUGAUAAAUGCUUAUUAUUCAUGCUAGAAUUGUAUUAACCGGAAACUUGAUACAUGUGUGGAUACAUAGACAAAACACCGUGUCCCUAGUAAGCCUCUACUAGACUAGCUCGUUAAUCAAAGAUGGUUAAGUUUCCUAACCAUAGACAUGUGUUGUCAUUUGAUGAAUGGGAUCACAUCAUUAGGAGAAUGAUGUGAUGGACAAGACCCAUCCGUUAGCUUAGCAUAUUAAUCAUUCAGUUUUAUUGCUAUUGCUUUCUUCAUGUCAAAUAUAUAUUCUUUCGAUUGUGAGAUUAUGCAACUCCUGGAUACCGGAGGAAUGCCUUGUGUGCUAUCAAACGUCACAACAUAACUGGGUGAUUAUAAAGAUGCUCUACAAGUAUCUCCGAAGGUGUUUGUUGGGUUGGCAUAGAUCGAGAUUAGGAUUUGUCACUCCGAGUAUCGGAGAGGUAUCUCUGGUCCCUCUCGGUAAUGCACAUCAUAAGACGCCUUGCAAGCAAAGUGACUAAUGAGUUAGUUGCGGGAUGAUGUAUUACGAAACAAGUAAAGAGACUUGCCAGUAACGAGAUUGAACUAGGUAUGAAGAUACCGACAAUAGAAUCUCGGGCAAGUAACAUACCGAUGCACAAAGGGAAUAACGUAUGUUGUCAUAAGGGUUCUACUGAUAAACAUAUUUGUAGAAUAUGUACGAGCCAAUAUGAUCAUCCAAGUUCCUUUGUUGGUUAUUGACCGGAGAGGUGUCUCGGUCAUGUCUACAUAGUUCUCGAACCCAUAGGGUCCGCACGCUUAACGUUCGAUGAUGAUUUUGGAUUAUAUGAGUUAUGUGAUUUGGUGAUUGAAUGUUGUUCGGGGCCCCAGAUGAGAUCAUGGACAUGACGAGGAGUCUCGAAAUGGUUGAGAAGUAAAGAUUGAUAUAUAAGACAAUAGUAUUAAGACACUAGAAGUGUUCCGGAGGGUAUCAUGUACAUAUCGGGUCACCAGAAGGGGUUCUGGGUACCCCCCGGCAAAGAUAUGGGCCUUACGGGCCAAGAGAGGGACAGACCAGCCCACAAAGGGCUUGUGCACCCCCAUAUAGGCCGAAAUAGGAGGAGAAGGAAAGAGGGGAAGGGAGAAGGAAAGGGAAGGAUUCGGCCUCCCCCUUCCUUCCCUCCCCCUCUCUUUCCUUUCCCCUCCGGUUAAUACGAAAGGGGUGCCGAAUUGGAGAGGAACCCCAAGUAGGAUUCGGUCUACUUGGGGCACCCCUUGGCUGCUCCCUCUCCCUCCCACCUAUAUAUAUGAGGGAAGGGAGGUGCCUACAAUACACAACAACAUCUAUUAGCCGUGUGCGGUGCCCCCUCCACAUAUUACACCCUCGGUCAUAUUCUCGCGGUGCUUAGGCGGAGCCCUGCGCGGACCACUUCACGAUCAUCGUCACCACGCCGUCGUGCUGACGGAACUCAUCUACUUCCUCAACACUCUGCUGGAUCAAGGGUUCGAGGGACGUCAUCGAGCUGAACGUGUGCAGAACUCGGAGGUGUCGUACGUUCGGUGCUUGAUCGGUCGAAACAAGAAGAAGUUCGACUACAUCAACCGCGUUGUCAAACGCUUCCGCUUUCAGUCUACGAGGGUAUGUAGACACACUCUCCCCCUCCUGUUGUUAUGCAUCUCCUAUAUAGAUCAUGCGUGAGCGUAUGAUUUUUUUUGAAAUUGCAUGCUACAUUUCCCGAUAGUGGCAGGUCUAUGCAUAGAUGAUAUGCACGAGUAGAACACAAAGAGUUGUGGGCGGUGAUCGUCAUACUACUUACCACCAAUGUCUUAUUUUGAUUUAGCGGUAUUGUUGGAUGAAGCGGCCCAGACCAACCUUACAUGACCACGUUCAUGAGACCGGUUCCACCCACAGACAUGCAACUAGUUUUUCAUAAAGGUGGCUAGCGGGAGUCUGUUUCUCCAACUUUAGUUGAAUCAAGUUUGACCGCGGCUGGUCCUUAUUGAAGGUUAAAACAGAAAACUUGAUAAAUCACCAUUGUGGUUUUGAUGCAUAGGUAAGAACUGUUCUUGCUAGAAGCCCGUAGCAGCGACGUAAAACUUGCAACAACAAAGUAGAGGACGUCUAACUUGUUUUUGCAGGGCAUGUUGUGAUGUGAUAUGGUCAAGACAUGAUGUGAUAUACGUUAUUGUAUGAGAUGAUCAUGUUUUGUAAAAGUUACUAGCAACUGGUAGGAGCCUUAUGCUUGUCUCUUUAUUGUAUGAAAUGCAAACGCCAUGUAAUUGCUUUACUUUAUCACUAUGUGUUAGCGAUAGUUGUAGAAGCAAUAGUUGGCGAGACGACCACGAUGCUACGAUGGAGAUCAAGGUGUCAAGUCAGUGACGAUGGAGAUCAUGACGAUGCUUUGGAGAUGGAGAUGAAAAGCACAAGAUGAUUGUCGGUGUCAAAACCGGCAGAUCUCGGGUAGGGUGUCCCGAACUGUGCGUCUAUGGAUCGAAGGUAACAAGAGACAGGGAACACGAUGUUUACCCAGGUUUGGGCCCUCUUGAUGGAGGUAAUACCCUACAUCCUGCUUGAUUGACUUUGAUGAAUAUAGGGGUUACAAGAGUUGAUCUACCACGAGAUCGUAAUGGCUAAACCCUAGAUGUCUAGCCUGUAUGAUUAUGACUGUGUCUCUACGGACUAAACCCUCCGAUUUAUAUAGACACCGGAGGGACCUAGGGUUGUACAGAGUCGGUUUACAGAGGAAGGAAUCUUCAUAUCCGAAUGCCAAGCUUGCCUUCCACAUAAAGGAGAGUCCCAUACGGACACAGGAGGAAGUCUUCUGUCUUGUAUCUUCAUGGCCCAUUAGUCCGGCCCACGUCACAUAGCCCGGACGCCCGAGGACCCCUUAAUCCAGGACUCCCUCAGUAGCCCCUGAACCAGGCUUCAAUGAUGAUGUGUCCGGCGUGCAGAUUGUCUUCAACAUUGCAAGGUCGGUUCCUCCUCUGAAUACUUCAAAGUAGUCCUCGAACAUAGAAAACGUGUCCAGCUCUGCGAAACAGACACCACACACAACCACAAUAGGGUAUAAUAUUUAACAAUUCCCAUCUACUGACGACUUUCAUGGCGAGACGUUAUGUCCCUUGCCUGGUUAUUAUUUCGAACCAUCUUUCAGUCUCUCUCUCCAUGUUACAAGACGCGGUCUUUAUUGGCGCAUCUUGUCAAAGCAGAGAUCGUGCCCCCUUAUCACAGGAUUCUUAUCAAUAUGGGCGUGGGUAAUCCAACCGUGUCGUUUGCAUGAUCCCUUGGGAACAGGCGAGCUUUAAGGCCCGUGAGGAGGUGUUCAAUAUUCAUCGCCUUUAUAGAGGGGUACAUACCCGUCUUUCUCCCCCGCGCCUAUCUCUUCUUCAGCCCUUCCAGCCUCAAGCUCCAGCGCCCAGGUCUCGAUUUCUUUCAUUGCUACCAAGCCUUCUAGUCAUGUCCAGCUCUCAAGGUAGGUGGACGGUCUCCUCGGUCACCGAGGAAGAUAUCAUGAAGCUCCGGGAGGCGAGGUACCUGACUGCGGAAAUCCCCCACAGGCUCCCUGCCAAGGGGCAGGUUAUCCCCACACCUAAAUCCGGUGAGAGGGUUGUAUUCAUCUCUUACUUACUCCGCGGGCUAGGGUUCGCUCUCCACCCCUUCGUUCGUGGCCUUAUGUUCUAUUAUGGGCUUGAUUUUCGCGAUCUAGCUCCGGACUCCUUUCUCCACAUUUCAACAUUUAUUGUUAUGUGUGAAGCUUUUCUCCGCAUCCCCCACACUUUGGCCUAUGGCUCAAGACCUUCAAUGUGAAGCCGAAAAUAGUCGACGGGGAGCAGGUGGAGUGCGGUGGUGCUAUGGUGAGAAAGCUCGCCAAUACUGUCUGGCCAAAAGGAACCUUCACGGAAACCUCCAACUUAUGGCAGCGGGAGUGGUUCUAUAUCACCGAACCCCACGGUACCAAAUGGACAGCCACGCCUGCGUUCCGAUCUGGCCCUCCAUUUUGACUUGCAUCAUGGAUUAAUAAGGGGCUUGACUGGGGAUCAAUUGAUGAAGUGCAGACACUGCAAAGUUGUAUCCAGAGCAUCCUCGAAAAGGACACCCGCCUCAUUAACGUGAUCCAGGUGAUUCUAGUCCGCCGGAUACUCCCGUGUCAGCGACGGCCUCUCCGCAUGUCGGAGUUCAACCCGGAAGGUCUGCGGACCCUUCAGCAAUUCUUCGACACAAUGCACAGAGGGAUGUGGAAAAUAUUCUUCAAGACCUGAAAGUAGUGGCCGGACACAUCCGAGGACAUCGGCCUCAACUGCAACCAUUCGGAUACCUCGGUAAGCACCCAACUUCUGAACGCAACUCGGUUGAUUAUCCCAUAGCGACGUACCGAGAAACCUAUCUUCGACCAGGGCUGGAUAAAGGAGGAAUGAAUUAGGUGUUCGGCUCCCCUUCCCGAAGACUCAGUUGAUCCUGUGUUAAUGAGGACGCUGGCCCCGACGCCAUAUCAAAUGCCGGCGAGGGAGGACAAGAAGAAGAACAAGAGGGUUGAAGGUGGCCUCCACUCUAAAUGUAUACUGGACGCUACGUCCGGGGAGACUGAAGCUCCCUCUUCUGAAGAUGAAGACAAAGAGGAAGAAGAAAAAGGGGAUAUCCCUUUCCCCCAUGGGAAAAAAGGACUGCCUCCAAAGACUUGGAGGUGGAGGCACCCAAGAGAGGGAAGAUAUCCCUAUCAGAUGGUUCAGGUUCGGAAGCCGGUGUUGACGCAAAGCUCCUUUCUAGGGACAAGCCCUUUGCCGAAUCGUAAGUGAACAAGGACGCUCUAGACAUAUCCCAUUCUUUUUGGUUUGCAAGGGUAACAUUCAAACCAUAUGUUUGCAGUCCAGUCCACUAUCUACCUCGACAGUCCUCCUCAUCGGGGGACUUGCCUCCGGAGAUGAUGGAAAGAGAGACGCCUCCACAAGCUUCAUCCCCCUAAGGGCGGACGACUUCGAGGUGUCGUCCCGAAGGAUCUCUACUGACCAUCCAGUGGCUCGGGGGACAAUGGAGACAUCGCCUGAAGGUGAUACUUCAACCGUCAAGGGUCCAAGGGAGGCAGCCCCCACGGGGACCGACAAUGAGGGCCCCGAACUAUCCGAUUUACAGCCGCUGACGAUUCUAGGGUCGAGUAAGCAUACCCUUUUGAAGGGAGUCCGUAUUCCCGCAGCAGUCUUCGAGGAUCCGGAGGUGCCAGAUACACUAGUGGGCACAUUACAACGUGCGUCCAUCUCGGAGGAACAUCGUACCUUAAUGGGUACGGUAGUUGAGAGGAUUCUGUCCGUGAGAAGCGGAUUGAAUGAAGCCUUCACGAUCCUGCUGAGAGGCUUCGAGGUAUGCAAUGUAAUAUCUUCAACCGCUCUUUUCAUGCAAAAAUGCACCUGUGUAUAGAUAGUAGCCCCUAAGACUCUGGUCGGUUUCCAUAGGGAGGCGAUCAGAGGAUAAAAAAACAUAUGCUCAGGAAGUAACAUAAUUAAUUUGAAAACAUGAUGUUAUGUCAAAGGCGGCUGCCCAUGCUGCGGAAGUUGCAGAUUUAAAGCAUAAACUUGAGUUAGCUGAUGAGGACAUUACCCUCAUUAACAGACGGCUCGACGAGGCACAAGGUAUGUUUUGGGAUAGCCCGCUUAUGCAUGUAUAAUAGUAUGAGCACGAAGCUGAAAAUUAUACACCGUGACAUGCAUAAUUGUAGAUGGUGCUACCGCGGUUGAGACCCUUCGGGCCGAGCUUGCCCAGGCCAAGGAGCAUGCUAGAGUGAGUAAUGCGGCUGCCAAGAAGGCGGCUGCUGAAUUAAAGGCCGAACAGGCCACCCGACACCAGUGCGAGGAGAGAAUAUCUACCAUGGAGCGAGAGCUGGAGGAUGCCAUUGGAAAAUGCAAAUCACUCGAGGAGGAUAACAAAGCCAAGGCAGCCGAAUUCGACAAGGCCUUACAAGAGGCGAGAGAAGCACGGUCCGAGUCUAGAACGGCUCGGGAGGAUGUACUGGGCAAAGAUGAAGGCCACCGAUGUUGCAGCUAAGGGCCCGCACAGAGGCAAAGACCAUGGCACGCCGGAGCAUUAUUUGGAGGAUGUCCUAGAGGGCGCCCGCUUGAUAGAGGGUCAGUGCUCGAAGGAUAUUAUGUUCGAAUAAAUGCACCGGAAUUGUGAGAACAAUAUUAUGAUACAUCAAGGCUGUGUUAUAUUUAUGCCUUUGCCUGAAAGUUAUUUCCUCCUGUGCGACCGUCUUUUGUAAUCUGAAAGUUUUCCAGUCGUUGGCUUCGGCCCCCUCGCAUAUAAUACGAGGGUGUUCGGAAUAGCACCUGAUCACUCUUGACCCAACGUCUUGGUCCGUAACGGAGGUGUCAGUGCGGCAAACUAGGCAAUCGGACUAUAGGGCCUUAACACUUUCAUUUAGCCAUAGGAGUUUUACGGUGGGUCUACUAUGUAGCCCCUGGUAUGUACGCGGUUAUAAGAAUACAAUUGCGUUACAUAGGUGACCAAAAAAUAAACAACGGUCCUUCGUGUAGUACAGAAGAAAUCACAAAAGAUUUUAAUAAGUCUUCGAGUGGUUGACCAGCUCUCGCCGCAUCAUGACAGUCAGUUUUCGGCUUUCUCUACAGAGGUGUUUAACCAGGUGAACCGGAAACACAAUCGCAGUAGUUCUCCCUUUACUACCCUAGCCGAUAAGAUGGAACGUAAAGUAGUAAGAACAGGAGCCGGGCAACCCAACUAUUGACCAAAUACAUGAUUCAGAGCUGAUGCAUAUAAUGCCAAACUCGUGACGCCGAAGUAUGCUGUAGAGUUGUUCGGACUUUUUGGCAACCCAUAUGUUGCCGUAUCGAGCCCCUGACUAUUUGUGCCGUGGUGUGUGCGUGAAACAACCGAAAAAUGCAGUUCUAUGAGCAAAAGCAAAUACUGAAGAUGGAUUAUGUUCACUGGAAUCUGAUUGAUACAUCGAACGCAAUCUUACAGAUUAUAACACCACUAUCGGCGUUCUGGGAACGGGGGUCCCCAAACUUGCCUGCCUGCGGCCUGCGGCGUGGCUCAAAAGGGGCCCCAGCGCGGCCCAUCUUCACCAACACAAACCCAAGACCCUCGCGAGGGGCCAAGCCUCGCGGGGCGGACGACGUGGAGCUUCCUCAGGCACGACCUCGUCAGGCUGGCUCACGAGGAGGUGGAGAGAUCAAGGCGGGGUACCUCACGAGGUGCCCGUGACACAAGCCAUGACGACCGAGGGCGCUAGGCGGGUGCCAGCCCGCGCAGUGUCCUCCUUCCCUCUUUGGUGCAAGGGGGGCAAGCACAGCCGCAGAGUACCGAGGCAUCAGGCAAAGGUUGCCAUUUUGGUGCAACGAGACCAAGACCAGGAGGACUACGAGACGGAGGUCACCGUGGAGCCCAAGACGGCGUCAUCACCAGAGCUUUGCGCAGGCGAAGACUAGUUUUGUCAGGAUAGCUAGUACUAGCUGCCCCCCUUCAAAUUAGCCCGCCAUUGUUGGCUCCCUUCCCACUCGAUAUUUGGGAAGAGGACCAGGGCCUCUAUAAAUAGGACCAGCCACCCAUAGAGCAAGGGGGCCGGGUUUUUUGGAAGGAUAGAGAAGAUCAGGAAGAGAGAGAGAGAGAGAGAGAGAGAGAGAGAGAGAGAGAGAGAGAAAGGUGACCGAGCUCCUCCCAGCAGUUCAUCGCCCCAGCCAAGAACAGACCAUCGCGAGGUUGUUCUUCCUUGUAUUGUUCAUCAUCAUCAGCCCAAGAGGCAAUCCACCACAGCACACACUGGAGUAGGGUAUUACACCACAACGGUGGCCCGAACCAGUAUAAACCCUGCGUCUCUUGUGUUAUUUUUGCCCUAGUUUUANNNNNNNNNNNNNNNNNNNNNNNNNNNNNNNNNNNNNNNNNNNNNNNNNNNNNNNNNNNNNNNNNNNNNNNNNNNNNNNNNNNNNNNNNNNNNNNNNNNNNNNNNNNNNNNNNNNNNNNNNNNNNNNNNNNNNNNNNNNNNNNNNNNNNNNNNNNNNNNNNNNNNNNNNNNNNNNNNNNNNNNNNNNNNNNNNNNNNNNNNNNNNNNNNNNNNNNNNNNNNNNNNNNNNNNNNNNNNNNNNNNNNNNNNNNNNNNNNNNNNNNNGAGGCGAAAUCUCCGCGCGCACCCCAGUGUUCGAACCUCAAGGGUCUGCCGAAACCCGAAAUCCGACAUUUGGCGCGCCAGGUAGGGGUGCGCCGGGAUUCGUCUUCAACCACCCGUUAUCCUCCGACCAUCACGCCCAUGUCUGACGCUCGUCGGGCCCGCGCCGAGUGCCGGGCCGCGCUCGCUUCCCGCGUCGCCCAGACGGCCCCUGUCGGCGGGCGCCCUCGCCGUUCCCCGUCACCUGCCGUCAACGCCGCCACCGGCCCGGUGGGGGACGAGCGGCAAGCAUCGUCCAAGCAUCCGUCCGUGCGGCAAGACGGCCGCACCGCAACUCCCUCGCUCACCCCAGCUGGUUCUUUGUCCCGCGCGCUCCGCGCACCCAUGGAGGCUCGAGCUACACUCAUCGCGGCGAACGAGCUCCUGCGCUACCGCCCCGUCAACGACGUCUAUGAAGAAUGGCUCGACCCCGUCGCCGAGCUCGUCCGCGCCACAGGGGGCUCUCCUGCGCCGUCCGUUCCGCUGCACCGCACCCCGCCCCGUGCGGGCAAUGAAGCUCCGGCGGCGCCCCGACCGCCUCCUCCUCAGGAAGGCGCCAUGGAUCCAAGGCACGUGGCCCCUGGGCGGAACCCGCUCCGUCAGGCGCCAGCGCUGCAAGAGCAGAGCUGUCAAGAAGUCCCUCGCCCGCAAGAAGCUGCCCGGGCGCUCCCUGCUCCAGCACGUCGCGACCAUGGUCCUGCUCCCGCGCGUCAAGACCCCGCGCUGCUCCCAGCUGCAGCGCAUGGGGAUAUCCAAGACCAAGCUCCCCGGCAUCCAAGACCUCCCGUGGCCACAGCAGGCUGCCGCGCCUUCACCGCCGAGCUACGCAGCGUCGCGUGGCCCGGCAAGUUCAAGCCGGACUUGCCUCCUCGCUACGACGACACAACUGACCCUGCGGAGUUCCUCCAGCUCUACGAGCUGGGCAUCGAAGCUGCCAACGGAGACGAGAAGGUCAUGGCGAAUUGGUUCCCCAUGGCACUCAAGGACGGGGCCCGCACCUGGCUCCUGAACCUGGCUCCAGGCACAAUCUCCUCCUGGGAUGAGAUGCGCACCCACUUCAUCGCCAACUUCCAAGGCACUCGCGACCGGCCACCCGCCGUGAGCGACAUGCGCCGCAUCAAGCAGCAGCCCGGGGAGACCCUGCAGAAGUACAUCCAGCGCUUCAACAACGCGCACCUCAAGAUUCCCAAGGUGACCGAGGAGGCCAUCAUCUCGGCCUUCUCCGACGGCGUGCGCGACGUCAAGAUGAAGGAGGAGCUGGCAAUGCAUGAAGACUUGUGCAUUUCCUUGGAGCUGUUCAACCUGGCAACCAAGUGCGCCAGGGCCGAGGAAGGGCGUCUCUCCCUCCUCGAGCUGCCUGCCGCAGACCUAGAAGAUAAGAAGCCCAAGGCCAAGGAUGUGAAGCGCAAGGGGCCUGCCGUGCUUGCGGCAGAACCAGACACCGAGCGAGGCAGAGAUCAGCCCGAACCUUCCAAGGGCGGCCGGUACUGUGUGUACCACGACCUCCACACCCACAACACCAACGAAUGCCAAGAGCUCCGAGCCAUGCGAGAAGGAAGGAUCGGCCGCCGCCCUGACCGCAGCGACCGGGGCUACGGCCGAGGAGGAGGAAGGAACACAGGACGCUGGGAAGACCGUGGCCCACGCCAAGGGUGGCGCGACCAACCACGCGAGGAUCGCUGGCAAGACCCGCCUCGUGAGGGAGGCUGGAGGGAUCAGCCUCGCGACGGGGACUGGAGGGAUCAGCCUCGCGAGGAUCGCCCGCAAGGCAACGCAGGCCUCCCACCGCUGCCACCGCAGCCAAGAAGAAACGAAGACCACCACCAGGACGAGGGGGCUGGGGGCUUCCAGGAGCCGCGCGCUAUUGCUUGCAUCCUGGGCGGGGCACAAGCCCCAGCCUCUCAGCGCAUCUUCAAGCAGUUCGCCCGCGAAGUGAAUGCAGUCCUCCCCAAGCUCGAAGCCACGCGCCCUCUCAGGUGGUCGGCGUGCGCCAUCAUGUUCAGCUCAGUAGAUCAGCUCAAGUGUGCGGCUACAGCCGGAGUCCUCCCGACGCUUUGUUCCCCAAUCAUCAGCAAUGUGGUGGUCACCAAGACCCUCAUCGACGGCGGGGCAGGGCUCAACGUCCUGUCCGUGGAAACAUUCAACAACCUCCAAGUUCCCUACAACCAGCUUCAGCCAACCAAGCCUUUCUCCGGUAUCACCGACGGCUCCACGGUCCCGAUUGGGCAGGUCCGCCUCCCUGUCACCUUCGGGGCACGCGACAACUACCGCACCGAGCUCAUCGACUUCGACGUCGCUCACAUUCGCCUGCCGUACAACGCCAUCCUUGGGUACCCAACACUGGCCAAGUUCAUGGUCGUAACUCACCACGGCUACAACGUCCUCAAGAUGCCAAGAAGUGGCGGAGUCAUCACGGUGCCCUGUGAAGAGAGGGACGCGGUGUGUUCCCUGGAACGAGCCUUUCAGGCCGUGUCGCUGGAAGACCCGGAUCGUGGAAGCAGGAGGCCUCCCGAGACCGCCCCUAAGAAGAAGAAGACAUUGUCCGGCCCGACCACUCAGGAGACAGGCCCCUCUGGGCCCGCGCCUGCCCAGGGGGAGCCUCCUUCCAUCGCAUAGGAAAGCGCGCCCGGCGCCCUCCUCAGGCAAGGCUCGGGGGCUCUCCCUUGGAGGGCCGCCGACCUAGCUAGGGUCACGAGGGAGGCGCUUGGGCACCACAUGGAGGCGUGUUUCGAAGCACGUUUCCCUCAGGAAUGAGCAAGGCAAGGAGAUCCAGACCCUCAGGAGUUCGUCAGCAAGGCCAUUCAGGAGCUACAGGAGUCAAGAGUCAUGAAAGGUGGCCGCCGCCUACCAGCAGUGGCUCCCCAUCCAGGCGAGGUUGGUGGGCUGCGCGUCUGCAUCGACAUACCAGGGCUCAACCGAGUCGCCUCUCUGGAGCGCCUCUGGCCCUCGCGGGUGGGGCGCUGCAGAGGCCCACCCAACAGCUACGUUCGCAUGCCUUACGACCUGCCGAGCGUGGCUGACGCGUACCAGCGCCUCAUGAGGAGCAUCACGGAGGCAUGAGAGGCCAGGCGUUCCGCUGCCCUGGCAGGGAUGGAGAUGGCCCCCGAGGAGCCGCCAGCACCUCCGGAGCCUCCCGAGGCCCCUGGGCCUGGGGGCUCGUGAGGAUCGGCUCCCGCAGCCCACCGAGCCUGCUACAUCAACGCUCCUUCGUCCUCAACAUCAUCAGGUGACACCUUUCUAGUUCUACUUCCAGCUGGGAGCGCCCCCCCAGGGCUGCAUUAUUCCCAGGCCGCAUGGGUCCGUCCCUGCAGCAUGUAUCCGCUUUUUCAUUCCAAGUUGUUAGCUUACCUUGUUGGGGGCGCCCCUCGGGCUGCAUGAUCCCCAAGUCGCUCGGGCCUGACCCAGUGAUGUACGCACUCCCAGCAUCUAUCUGAACGAAUCCACUCCUUCGCGGCUAAUGUGUUCUACCUAGUUGCCUGCUCAGCUGACGCCAACUAAUGGAGCUGCUCCCAAACGGCACGACGCUUGCGCAUGGGUCCGUCCCUGCAACGCCGACAAACCUGGAUGGCUCAGCUCUGGCCGCGGCAGCCCCGCAUAGCGUCACCUUGUUAAGCCUUCAGUGCCUCACUACCCCUCGGAAGCAACCAAUGGCCGACUGUCAAUUGUCAUGGCAACCCCUUGAUUUUUCUAUGGUGGACCUGCAGGACCUCCUGAAGGAGCUGCGUCAGGCGAGGCCCUUGCGGUGUCUCCUUCGCUCUUGUCCGCGCAAACCGCUUGCACAUUAAAGGGGGGGUGCCUGAGCAUCGCGACUCAGGGCUCCUACUGGCUCGCUAGCCCUCACCCUCUGGCCUUGACCACGGCAUCGCGACCUGGCAUACCAGCGACGGCUGAGACUCGCUCGAGGGCCGGGACCUGAGGACGUAGAGCAGAAAGGGGAACAAAGGCGAGAGGGGAGAGACACGCGAGGACCUCACCGAGCAACCUCGCGCCUGCCGAUGCACGGACCCGGCGACACACCAGAGAGCGGCCCCUGAUCCUCGAGAUAAGUCAUCACCCGAAGCGCCAGCUAUCGUGGCACCAUCCCCGCACCUAAUGCCAUCCUGUGUUAGCGACGCCACUCUCCUUUCUCACCAAACGACGGCUGCUUGGGCGCCAAAGGGGACCUCCUGAGCAUCGCGACUCAGGGGCUCUUACCGGACUCCGGGUCGCUCACCUCCUGGCCUUGACCACGGCAUCGCGACCUGGCAUACCAGCGACGACUGAAGCCGCCUUGGGACUGGGACCUGUCGGCGCAGAGCACCAAGCCCUCGUGAGGUUCGAAAGGGAGGACUGAGCUAAGACGGAAUGAGCAACUCACACAAUUCUACAACAGGGGUUAUAUUAACAAAACAGGAUCACAUGCACCUUACAAGCCCCCACGGGACGCAUUUUUGAUUCCUCGAAGGGAACAGAUCCUAAAGGGACACAAACUACGCGCGUCCCAGCAAAAGACGCCAUCAUCAACAGUGGGCCGCCAAGCACCGACACCAACCCCAUCCAGAUCAGGGUCGGCGGCGGCCUGACGAGCCCGCCCUGCUCUAGGAGCGGCGCCGGCUCGGGGGCUCGUAGCUGUCUUCGCUCAUCUCCGGAGUCACGAAGAGCUCGCUGGAGUCGCUGGAACCUCCAACGCCUCCACCACCUGAGGAGCCGCCAAGGGGGCGGUUGGCGGGCCCAGUCCUUGUCACGGCAGGGUCCUGGCCGCCUUCCCCGGGGCAGCACUCCAGCCGGCGCCCGCUCGCAUCAAAGACCUUGAAGAGCAUCACCGAAGCACCGUCGUAAUCCAAGUGGACCGUGAAGACGCCCCUUACCCUGCAAACCCGGGCGAUCUCUCUCCAGCCCCGAGUCAUGUAGACCUCGCCCGAGGCAACGACCGCGACCUCCGCCUCGGUCGCGAGGGUGCUGCAGCCGGCGUGCUGCAGCCAGAGCUCCAGGGGCUCCCCCUGCAGGAUGAUGGAGGCGAAGAAGGGAGGAAGGCGGAUCCAAGACUAGAGAGGAAUGGCGACGUGAAGCAUGAACUCUUGGGAGGAGCCCUCGGUGUGGACCCCAGGGGGGACGACCCACACCUUCGUGACCCGCCGGCGCCGACGGCGGCGUCGCCCGCGACGGUCAGUAUCAGCUCCUUCAGGGCCCUCGACGUGGGCGUACAAUAGAAGCGGGAACCCCGGUGGUGCACGCUCGCACAAGGGCCUCGNNNNNNNNNNNNNNNNNNNNNNNNNNNNNNNNNNNNNNNNNNNNNNNNNNNNNNNNNNNNNNNNNNNNNNNNNNNNNNNNNNNNNNNNNNNNNNNNNNNNNNNNNNNNNNNNNNNNNNNNNNNNNNNNNNNNNNNNNNNNNNNNNNNNNNNNNNNNNNNNNNNNNNNNNNNNNNNNNNNNNNNNNNNNNNNNNNNNNNNNNNNNNNNNNNNNNNNNNNNNNNNNNNNNNNNNGAGCCUUUCCCUUCUCUGCCGUCGAGAACCGGUGGAUCGGAGCCAUCGCAGCAAGACGGAGCAAGGAUCGGGAAGAAGGAGAAGCAAGGAGGGAUGGACUGGAAGGGCGCGCGCUGUUCCGUACUUAUGGCCGGCGAAGGCCAACCGCCUACCUCCACGAUCGUAGGUAAUCAUGACCCACUUUGCAUGCAGGGACUUGUCCAAUCCAUGCAGUUGCCAAGGCGCCAUGGGGAAGUGGAGGCGCCCACGUCCAAUCAACCGCCACGCGGCGCCCAAGGCCGCAGACUGUUAGGGCCCGCGUCGCUUCGCUCUUGCCCUUCCGCCUCCCUGCACGGCCAAGUCCGGGCGCGCCUUGGGCCCGGGGGGUACUGUCAGCGUUCUGGGAACGGGGGUCCCCAGACUUGCCUGCCUGCGGCCUGCGGCGCGGCUCAAAAGGGGGCCCAGCGUGGCCCAUCUUCACCAACACAAACCCAAGACCCUCGCGAGGGGCCAAGCCUCGCGGGGCGGAUGACGCGGAGCUUCCUCAGGCACGGCCUCGUCAGGCUGGCUCACGAGGAGGCGGAGAGAUCAAGGCGGGGUACCUCACGAGGUGCCCGUGACGCAAGCCAUGACGACCGAGGGCGCCAGGCGGGUGCCAGCCUGCGCAGUGUCCUCCUUCCCUCUUUGGUGCAAGGGGGCAAGCGUAGCCACGGAGUACCGACGCAUCAGGCAAAGGUUGCCAUUUCGGUGCAACGAGACCAAGACCAGGAGGACUACGAGACGAAGGUCACCAUGGAGCCCAAGACGGCGUCAUCACCAGAGCUUUGCGCAGGCGAAGACUACUUUUGUCAGGAUAGCUAGUACUAGCUGUCCCCCUUCAAAUUAGCCCGCCAUUGUUAGCUCCCUUCCCGCUCGAUAUUUGGGAAGAGGACCAGGGCCUCUAUAAAUAGGACCAACCACCCACAGAGCAAGGGGGCCGAGUUUUUUGGAAGGAUAGAGAAGAUCAGGAAGAGAGAGAGAGAGAGAGAGAGAGAGAGAGAGAAAGGUGACUGAGCUCCUCCCAGCAGUUCAUCGUCCCAGCCAAGAACAGACCAUCGCGAGGCUGUUCUUCCUUGUAUUAUUCAUCAUCAUCAUCCCAAGAGGCAAUCCACCACACCACACACUGGAGUAGGGUAUUACACCACAACGGUGGCCCGAACCAGUAUAAACCCUGCGUCUCUUGUGUUGUUUUUGCCCUAGUUUUAGAUCCUAGCAAGGCGGGGGGGGGGUGCAGGUAGGUAGGAGGCGAAAUCUCCGCGCGUACCCCAGUGUUCGAACCUCAAGGGUCUGCCGGAACCUGAAAUCCGACAACCACUACCCAGGCCAUUUUACAUGCCAGGGGUUGAAGGCUGAGAAAAAAGGCUCUAUACAGGUUUUAAGUAGAGUGUUUCGUCUACAGAAAAUCUUUUGGACCUCCUGUCGCAUGUCUGUGCUUCCGUUGCCUCAGCGAAAAGUAUUCCUUAAAAGGAGUAAUCUUUGGUUAUUUGUACAAAACCGGGCUCAGAAAGAGUCCUUAUAGGUCCGUAGGAUGAACCAUUUUUGAUUCACCUAUGGCAAAAGAUAAGAUAUAGUUAGAAAAGAGAAAAAAGGUUGUAGGAGGGCAAACCGUAUUGUAGGCCUGCUCGUAUUGUGCCUCCGCCGAUGACCAAAGUAUUUUAAGUGCAUAAUUAUGCAUGCGCGAUACGAACUUCGCAGGUAUAUGUGGCGAACGACGGAGGUCGAACUGCUAAUCCAGCUUUAGAAUUGGCCGGUCCUGUGUAAUAGAGGCCGGCGGCUUAAUGGCCGAUGAGAUAUGCGGCUUGAUGGGGCCGCUCUGUACUUCGGCUGUGAUGGCCGCGGUAUGAUCCUCGGUAUGGAGGGUGCGUUCUGUGUUUCUAUUGAUCAUGAUGACGCCGCGUGGACCGGACAUCUUAAGUUUUAGAUAGGCGUAGUGUGGGACCACAUUAAAAUGAGCAAAAGUGGUCCGCCCGAGCAGUGCAUGGUAGCCACUGCGCAACGGGACAAUAUUGAAGAUCAAGGCUUCGCUUCGAAGGUUGUCUGGUGAACUGAAGACGACUUUGCUACCUCUUGAGCACUGCGUUGGUUUUCCCUUGAAGAGGAAAGGGUGAUGCAACAAAGUAGCGUAAGUAUUUCCCUCAGUUUUUGAGAACCAAGGUAUCAAUCCAGUAGGAUACUACACGCAAGUCACCUCGCACCUACACAAACAAAUAAGAACCUCCCAACCAACACGAUAAAGGGGUUGUCAAUCCCUUCACGAUCACUUACGAGAGUGAGAUAUGAUAAAGAUAAUAAGAUAAAUAUUUUUGGUUUUUUAUUAUAUAGAUUGGAAAAUAAAGAUUGCAAAAUAAAAUAGAUUGGAAACUUAUAUGAUAGAAGAUUGACCCGGGGGCCAUAGGUUUCACUAGUGGCUUCUCUCAAGAUAGCAUAAAUAUUACAGUGGGUAAACAAAUUACUGUCAAGCAAUUGAUAGAAAAGUGCAUAAUUAUGAGAAUAUCUAGGCAUGAUCAUGUAUAUAGGCAUCACGUCCGUGACAAGACCGAAACGAUAUGCAUCUACUACUAUUACUCCACACAUCGACCACUAUCCAGCAUGUAUCUAGAGUAUUAAGUUCAUAAGAACAGAGUAACACAUUAGGCAAGAUGACAUGAUGUAGAGGGAUGAACUCAAGCAAUAUGAUAUAAACCCCAUCUUUUUAUCCUCGAUGGCAACAAUACAAUAGUGACUUGCUACCCCUGCUGUCACUAGGAAAGGACACAACAAGAUUGAACCCAAAGCUAAGCACUUCUCCCAUUGCAAGAAAGAUCAAUCUAGUAGGCCAAACCAAACUAAUAAUUCGAAGAGACUUGCAAAGAUAACAAAUCAUACAUAAAAUAUUUUAGAGAAGAAUUAAAUAUUGUUCAUAGAUAAUCUUGAUCAUAAACCCACAAUUCAUCGGAUCUCGACAAACGCACCGCAAAAAGAAUUACAUCAAAUAGAUCUCCAAGAAGAUGGAGGAGAACUUUGUAUUGAGAUCCAAAGAGAGAGAAGAAGCCAUCUAGCUAAUAACUAUGGACCCGAUGGUCUGUGGUAAACUACUCACACAUCAUCGGAGAGGCCAUGGCGUUGAUGUAGAAGUCCUCCGUGAUUGAUUCCCCCUUCGGCGGAGCUCCGGAAAAGGCCCCAAGAUGGGAUCUCUUGGGUACAGAAGGUUGCGGCGGUGGAAAUAGGGUUUCAUGGUGCUCCUAGAUGUUUUUGGGGUAUAUGGAUAUAUAUUGGAGGAAGAAGUAGGUCGGUGGAGCUGCGAGGGGCCCAUGAGGGUGGGGGCGCCCCCAGGGGGCAGGCGCGCCUCCCUGCCUUGUGGCCUCCUCGCUCCUUUCUUGACGUCUACUCCAAGUCCCCUGGAUCACGUUUGUUCCAAAAACAACUCUCUCGAAGGUUUCAUUCCGUUUGGAUUCCGUUUGAUAUUCCUUUUUUGCGGAACACUAAAAUAGGCAAAAAAACAACAAUUUGCACUGGGCCUUGGGUUAGUAGGUUAGUCCCAAAAUUAAUAUAGAAGUGUAUAAUAAAGCCCAUUAAACAUCCAAAACAGAUAAUAUAAUAGCAUGGAACAAUAAAAAAUUAUAGAUACGUUGGAGACGUAUCAGACUUCCAAUGUGAUUGAACCCGUGAUGCGAGCUUCGACGCCAGGUAUUACUCCCUUGAAGGUAGUUGUGGUGGGCUUGAUCCUUGAGGUGUCAAUGCCCAUCUUGCGGACAGUGUCUUGAUAAAGUAAAUUAAGGCUACCACCGCCGUCCAUAAGGACCCAUAUGAGAUGGAAUCCAUUGAUAAUUGGAUCGAGGACCAGAGCUGCUGAACCUCCAUGACAGAUAUUGGUUGGGUUGUCCUUGCGAUCAAAAGUGAUCGAGCAGACCGCCCAUGGAUUGAAUUUUGGGGCGUCCGGUCUUAUGGCGUAGACGUCUCGUAGUGAGCGCUUGCUCUCCCUUGUAGGGAUAUACGUCACAUAUAUCAUGUUUACUAUUUUGACUUUGGGGGGAAAUUGCUUCUGUCUCUCGUUGUUUGGUUGGCGAGUCUCUUUGUCUUCGCUGUCACUGGGCGGCCCCUUCCCUUUGUGUUCGACAUUGAGCUUGCCGGCUUGUUUGAAAACCCAGCAAUUUCUGUUGGUAUGGUUAGCAGGUUUGUCAAGGCUGCCAUGAAUCUGGCAGGGCUGAUCCAGUAUCCUGUCUAAACUGGAUGGACCAUCUCUAUUUUCCUUGAAUGGCUUCUUCCGUUGACCAUAUUUGGGGCCAUUGAAUCUAGCGUUGACCGCCGUGUCUUGGGUUCCAGCAUUAUUGUUUCGACGCUUGUUUUUAUUGUGUUGUGGCUUGCCGUUUCCGUCCCUGGCUUCGGAGGUGCCGGGAUCGCUGGUGCUAUUUCUCCUACGAGCAAGCCAGCUAUCUUCUCCCGCACAAAAGCAGGUCAUCAGUGAGGUAAGAGCUACCAUGGACUUAGGUUUUUCUUGGCCGAGGUGACGGGAGAGCCACUCAUCUCGGACGCUAUGUUUAAAGGCCGCGUGGGCUUCAGCGUCCAGACAGACGACAAUUUGGUUCUUUUUAAUUAGGAACAUAGUCCAGAGUUUCCUGGCUGACUCUCCAGGCUGCUGGAUGAUGUGACUGAGGUCAUCGGUGUCCGGAGGCCGGACAUAUGUACCUUGGAAGUUGUUGCGAAAGGCGUCUUCCAAGUCUUCCCAGUUGCCAAUGGAGUUCUCUGGGAGGUUGUUUAGCCAGUGCUGGGCUGGUCCCUUUAAUUUUAGUGCGAGGUAUUUGAUGGCAUGGAGAUCAUCACCGCGGGCCAUGUGGAUAUGGAGAAGAAAAUCCUCAAUCCAUACUGCAGGGUCGGUUGUUCCAUCAUAUGAUUCGAUAUUCAUAGGUCUAAACCCUUCCGGGAAUUCAUGCUCCAUUACUUCCUCGGUGAAGCACAGGGGGUGUGCGGUGUCUCUAUAACGGGCGACAUCAUGACGGAGUUCGACAGACGUCCCUAUUCGGUUUUCACCCUAAGUGAGGUUGUGUUGAUUACGCCGGGCCUGAUAGCCGUCCUCUCGUGUUGGGGCACGUCCCCUUGACCCGUAGAUUGAUCUGGCUAGGCCUGCCCUAGUGUCCAGGUUCUAUCGUAGGUCGUAGGUGUAAUCUCGGGCCACUGUCUCCCUACCUUUACGGCGGGGUAAUGUGGGCUAGUGUUCGGCUUGGGUAGCCGUUUUUUCUCGGUCAUGUGGUGGCCGGUCUGGUUUAUCGGCUGCAUUACACACUGAUGUUAGGGGCACCCGCGCCUCAACGUCGAAUUGGGGUAACAACUUGUGCUUCGGGUAGCUUUUGGUUGGUCGUGUGAGGCCGUAUUCCUCGGCUGCCAGGACAUUAGCCCAUCUGUCAUUGAGCGUAUCCUAUUCGGCUUGAAGCCAUUGUUGUUUCCUUUUCAGGCUCCUCGCAGUUGCGAUGAGCUGUUGCUUAAAGCGUUCUUGCUCGAGGGGUUCCUCUAGCACGAUGAAGUCUUCGUCGCCGAGGCUUAUUUCGUCUUCGGAGGGUGAUAUAUAAUUGUUGUCCUCCGAGUCUUUGUUUCCGACUGGCUCGUCAGGGUUACCCUGCCCCUCCUCCCUAUCGUCCUGUUCAGAUGUUGGUUCGGUGGGGGCGUCUGGGUCUUUGGCAUUCUCUGGAGUGUUAUCGUUUCCGUUGCUGGUAUUACUUUCUUUGUUGCGGCAUGAUUUUGAACGGCGCCGCUGGUGCCACUGCUUCAGUGGUUUAUCAGUGUUAUUGUCCUUGAUUGGAUCCUUACUGCCUUCAUCGCCAUCCUCUUUUUGUGUAUCCACCAUGGAUAUGUCGUAUGUGGAGGUGGCCGCCCAGCAUCGGGUAUGCGGCGGGUUUUGGCUUUGUUCGUCUGUGAAAUCGACGUCCAUACCAUAGAUGUCUUCGGAGGUACGGUCAAGCAUGUCGGUUAGGUCCUCGACAGUGGCUAUGAAGUGGGUGGUGGGUGGGAUGUGAAAUUCCCCGCUCUCAGCCCCUAGUUCGGGCUGGGCGUAGUUCGGACAUUGCCCCUCUGUAAUGACGAGGGAUCGCAUUAAGUCCAGAGCCUCGCUUAAAGGCGAGGUUUGGCCAGGGAGAAGAGAGUCUGUGGAGUACGGUGGGAAGGAAACUCCUUGACCAAGCUCACACGAUGCUGACUCUGAGGGUCCGGAGCCAGUGUUCGGAGAAGAGUCUGGCUUCAUGAUGAUUGCCGGUGACACUACUUCCUCCGGCUCUCCCAUACUAGGCUCACUAGCCGCAGGUAGUCUGGCGGGCUCGGACAUCCCGUCUUCGGACCUGGUAAUGCGCUACGGAUCUAAGGCCAGAGCGGAGGUUGGGGUCGCGAAUCCUUGGAAGAUCAAAUCUCCUCGAAUAUCGGCGACAUAAUCCAGAUUUCCAAAACUAAUCGGGUGACCUGGGGCGUAGCUGUCGAUUUGCUCUAGAUGGCCAAACGAGUUGGCCCAUAGUGCGAAGCCGCCGAACACAAAGAUCUGGCCGGGGAGAAAGACCUCCCUCAGGGAUGCAUUGUUGUAGAUGAUUGAUGGAGCCAUCAAGCCUUUCAACGAUGGCACAGUGGAACUCUCAAUGAAAGCACCAAUGUCGGUGUCAAAACCGGCAGAUCUCGGGUAGGGGGCCCCAAACUGUGCGUCUAAGGAUCGAAGGUAACAGAAGACAGGGGACACGAUGUUUACCCAGGUUCGGGCCCUCUUGAUGGAGGUAAUACCCUAUGUCCUACUUGAUUGACUUUGAUGAAUAUAGGGGUUACAAGAGUUGAACUACCACGAGAUCGUAAUGGCUAAACCCUAGAUGUCUAGCCUGUAUGAUUAUGACUGUGUCUCUACGGACUAAACCCUCCAGUUUAUAUAGACACCGGAGGGACCUAGGGUUGUACAGAGUCGGUUUACAGAGGAAUGAAUCUUCAUAUCCGGACGCCAAGCUUGCCUUCCACGUAAAGGAGAGUCCCAUCUGGACACGGGAGGAAGUCUUCUGUCUUGUAUCACGGCCCAUUAGUCCGGCCCACGUCACAUAGCCCGGAUGCCUGAGGACCCAUUAAUCCAGGACUCCCUCAAUGAUGAUGGUCACAUCAUGUCACAUAUUUUGAUUGCAUGUGAUGUUUAUAUUUUAUGCAUCUUAUUUUGCUUAGUACGGCGGUAGCAUUAUAAGAUGACCCCUCACUAAAAUUUUCAAGGUAUAAGUGUUCUCCCCGAGUAUGCAUCGUUGCGACAGUUCAUCGUGUUGAGACACCACGUGAUGAUCGGGUGUGAUAGACUCUACGUUCACAUACAACUGGUGCAAGACAGUUUUGCACAUGUGGAAUACUCGGGUUAAACUUGACGAGCCUGACAUGUAUAGACAUGGCCUCGGAACACUAGAGACCGAAAGGUCAAACGUGAAUCAUAUAGUAGAUAUGAUCAACAUAGAGAUGUUCACCAUUGAUGACUACUCCAUCUCAUGUGAUGAUCAAACAUGGUUUAGUUGAUUUGGAUCACGUAUCAUUUGGAUGACUUGAGGGAUGUCAAUCUAAGUGGGAGUUCUUAAGUAAUACGACUAAUUGAACUUAAUUUAUCAUGAACUUAGUCCUGAUAGUUUUUGCAUAUCUAUAUUGUAGAUCAAUGGCCCGUGCUACCGUUCCCUUGAAUUUUAAUGCAUUCCUAGAGAUAGCUAAGUUGAAAGAUGAUGGUAGCAACUACACGGACUGGGUCCGUAACUUGAGGAUUAUUCUCAUUGCUCUACAGAAGAACUAUGUCCUUGAUGCACCGCUAGGUAAAAGGCUUGAUGCAGGAGCAAAUGAUGAUGUUAUGAACAUCUGGCAAGCUCGGUCUGAUGAGUACUCGAUAGUUCAGUGUGCCAUGCUUCACGGCUUAGAAUUGGGACUUCAAAGACAUUUUGAACGUCAUGGACCAUAUGAGAUGUUCCAGGAGUUGAAGUUAAUAUUUCAAGCAAAUGCCCGAGUUGAGAGAUAUGAAGUCUCCAACAAGUUUUAUAGCUACAAGAUGGAGGAGAACCGUUCUGUCAGUGAACACAUACUCAAAAUGUCUGGGUAUCAUAAUCACUUAACUCAGCUGGGAGUUAAUCUUCAAGAUGAUAGUGUUAUUGACAGAGUUCUUCAAUCACUGCCACCAAGCUACAAAGGCUUCGUGAUGAACUAUAAUAUGCAAGGGAUGUAUAAGACAAUUCCCGAGCUCUUCACUAUAGUCAAAGCUACAGAGGUAGAAAUCAAGAAGGAGCAUCAAGUGUUGAUGGUUAACAAGACCACUAGUUUCAACAAAAAGGGCAAAGGAAAGAAGGGGAACUUCUAGAAGAAUGGCAAGCAAGUUGCCACUCUCGGGAAGAAGCCCAAAUCUGGACCCAAGCCUGAAAUUGAGUGCUUCUACUGCAAAGGGACUGAUCACUGGAAGCGGAACUGCCCCAAGUAUUUGGUGGAUAAGAAGGAUGGCAAAGUGAACAAAGGUAUAUUUGAUAUACAUGUUAUUAAUGUGUACCUUACUAAUGCUCGUAGUAGCGCCUGGGUAUUUGAUACUGGUUCGGUUGCUCAUAUUUGUAACUCGAAACAGGGGCUAUGGAUUAAACGAAGAUUGGCUAAGGACGAGGUGACGAUGCGCGUCGGGAAUGGUUCCAAGGUCGAUGUGAUCGUCGUCGGCACGCUACCUCUACAUCUACCUUCGGGAUUAGUUUUAGACUUGAAUAAUUGUUAUUUGGUGCCAGCAUUGAGCAUGAACAUUAUAUCUGGAUCUUGUUUAAUGCGAGACGGUUAUUUAUUUAAAUCAGAGAAUAAUGGUUUUUCUAUUUAUAAGAGUAAUAUCUUUUAUGGUCAUGCACCCUUGAAGAGUGGUCUAUUUUUAUUGAAUCUCGAUUGUGGUGAUACACAUAUUCAUAAUAUUAAUGCCAAAAUAUGUAAAGUUGAUAAUGAUAGUGCAACAUAUUUGCCGCACUGCCAUUUAGGUCAUAUUGGUGUAAAGCGCGUGAAGAAACUCCAUGCAGAUGGGCUUUUGGAAUCACUUGAUUAUGAAUCAUUUGAUACUUGCGAACCAUGACUCAUGGGCUAGAUGACUAAAAUCCGUUCUCAGGAACAAUGGAGCAAGCUACUGACUUAUUGGAAAUAAUACAUACUGAUGUAUGUGGUCUGAUGAGUGUUGAGGCUCGCGGCGGGUAUCGUUAUUUUUUGACCUUCAAAUAUGAUUUAAGCAGAUAUGGGCAUAUCUACUUAAUGAAACACAAUUCUGGAACAUUUCAAAAGUUCAAAGAAUUUCAGAGUGAAGUGGAGCAUCAUUGUAAAAAGAAAAUAAAGUUUCUACGAUCUGAUCACGGAGGCUAAUAUUUGAGUUACGAGUUUGGCCUUCAUUUAAAACAAUGUGGAAUUGUUUCACAACUCACACCACCUGGAACACCACGGCGUAAUGGUGUGUCCAAACGUCAUAACCAUACUCUAUUGGAUAUGGUGCGUUCUAUGAUGUCUCUUACCGAUUUGCCUUUAUCAUUUUGGGGUUAUGCAUUAGAGACAGCUGCGCAUUCAUGUUAAAUAGGGCACCAUCUAAAUCCGUUGAGACGACACCGUAUGAACUGUGGUUUGGCAAGAAACCUAAGUUGUCAUUUCUUAAAGUUUGGGGUUGCGAUGCUUAUGUGAAAAAGCUUCAGCCUGAUAAGCUCGAACCCAAACCGGAGAAGUGCGUCUUCAUAGGAUACCCAAAAGAAACUGUUGGGUACACCUUCUACCACAGCUCCGAAGGCAAGAUCUUUGUUGCUAAGAAUGGAUCCUUUCUAGAGAAGGAGUUUCUCUCGAAAGAAGUGAGUGGGAGGAAAGUAUAACUUGAUGAGGUAAUUGUACCUUCUCUCGAAUUGGAGAGUAGCUCAUCACAGAAAACUGUCCCUGUGAUGCCCACACCAAAUAGAGAGGAAGCUAAUUAUCGGUGUCAAAACCGGCGGAUCUCGGGUAGGGGGUCCCGAACUGUGCGUCUAGGCCGGAUGGUAAUAGGAGGCAAGGGACACGAAGUUUUACCCAGGUUCGGGCCCUCUCGAUGGAGGUAAAACCCUACGUCCUGCUUGAUUAAUAUUGAUGAUAUGGGUAGUACAAGAGUAGAUCUACCACGAGAUCAGAGAGGCUAAACCCUAGAAGCUAGCCUAUGGUAUGAUUGUUGAUGUGUAUAUGUCGUCUUAGGGACUAAAACCCUCCGGUUUAUAUAGACACUGGAGAGGGUUAGGGUUACAUAGAGUCAGUUACAAUGGUAGGAGAUCUGAACAUCCGUAUCGCCAAGCUUGUCUUCCACGCCAAGGAAAGUCCCUUCCGGACACGGGACAGAGUCUUCAAUCUUGUAUCUUCAUAGUCCAGGAGUCCGGCUGAAGGUAUAGUUCGGCUAUCCGAACACCUCCUAAUCCAGGACUCCCUCAGUAGCCCCUGAACCAGGCUUCAAUGACGAUGAGUCCGGCGCGCAAAUUGUCUUCGGCAUUGCAAGGCGGGUUCCUCCUCCAAGUACUUCAUAGAAGAUUUUAAACACAAAGAUAGUGUCCGGUUCUCAGCGCAUCAUGCGAGGCGGUUUCCUUGGCACGUCUUGUCCAAGCAGAGAUCGUGCCCCCUUAUUCCGGGAUUCUCAUCAAUACGGGCGUGGGUAACCCAACCGCUUCCAGGACUCCUAGAUCAUAGGCAAGUCCAAACGGACACGGGGAGGACGCUCGAUAUCCACCCUCUUUAUAAAGGGACGAGGCCUUUUAUUUUUCCCUCCCGUGCUCAAUUGAAUCCUUCCCCCACCUCAAGCUCAAACGCCCAAAGUUCAGGUCAGGUGCUCCGAACCUUCAGUCAUGUCCGGAUCUAGCCUUCAAGGCCGAUGGGUGCCUUCUUCCGUCAUGGAAGAAGACGUCAAAAAGUUGAGGGAGGCCAGAUAUCUGACCGCCGAGAUUCUGCAUCGGCUGCCUCCCCGGGGGCAGGCCGUCUCCUCCCCCGAACCCAACGAGAGCGUUGUGUUCGUCUCCCACUUCCUCUGAGGUCUAGGCCUUGCAUUGGAUCCUUUUGUUAGGGGCUUGAUGUUUUACUACGGGCUAGAUUUCCAUGAUCUAGCUCCGGACUCCUUUCUUCAUAUCACGACAUUUAUUGUUGUGUGCGAGGCCUUCCUCCGGGUUACCCCUCACUUUGGCCUAUGGCUCAAGACCUUUGAAGUAAAACCGAAGAUGAUCGAGGGGCAACAUGCGGAGUGUGGAGGUGCCUCAAUACGCAAGAUGACGGGAGCUGCAUGGCCCAAAGGUUCCAUUCCAGAGGUGUCUGAAUUGUGGCAACAGGAGUGGUUCUACAUCACGGCUCCUAGAAGUGCCAAGUGGGAGGCCGCCCCUAUCUUCCGCCCGGGCCCUCCACCACAAUUGAUGUCAUGGAUUAGCAGAGGAUUGAGCUGGGUCCAGCCAAGGACGUGCCUAUACUGCCAAGCCGCAUUCAAGAUCUCUUUAAUGGAGAUUUCAGUUUGGCUGCGGUAGCACAAGUUAUGCUGGUUCGCCAAGUCCAGCCUUGCAAACAUCGGCCUCUUUGCUUGUGGGAGUUUAAUCCCGAGGGACCGCGCGCCAUUCAAAAUUUCCUCGGCCUGACGCACGAGGAGAUGUACAAGUCAUUCUUCGGACCUCAAGUGGAGUGUCCGGAAAUCACCGAGGACGCGCGCCUGAGUAGCAACCGCGCUGCCGAACAGGUAAGGCAUCUUCCGACCGAGCGUACUACCUCUCCUUUGAUGCGAAGUUAUUUCUGAGAGUCCGCUUUUUGACCAGGACUGGCUAACGAAGGCGAAGUUGAUUCGGUGCUUGGCCCCCCUCCCUGAGGGUUUGGAAAAUCCGAUAUUGGAAAAGAUGCUCCAGGCCGUACCUUGCCCGGAGCCCUUGAAGGAAAAUGCGGGCGGUCGUGGGCCCCCAACGCUGGCCGCUCUAGCCGAGGGAGCGAGCGUCUCCAUGAAGGAAGAUGAUCAGAAGAGGAAAAGGAUUGCGUCUUGGGAUUCGGAAGCCGAAGCUUCCAAACGGGAGAAGAAGUCUCCCACAGAGGGUCCUACCUCGGGGGGUGCGGUUNNNNNNNNNNNNNNNNNNNNNNNNNNNNNNNNNNNNNNNNNNNNNNNNNNNNNNNNNNNNNNNNNNNNNNNNNNNNNNNNNNNNNNNNNNNNNNNNNNNNNNNNNNNNNNNNNNNNNNNNNNNNNNNNNNNNNNNNNNNNNNNNNNNNNNNNNNNNNNNNNNNNNNNNNNNNNNNNNNNNNNNNNNNNNNNNNNNNNNNNNNNNNNNNNNNNNNNNNNNNNNNNNNNNNNNNNNNNNNNNNNNNNNNNNNNNNNNNNNNNNNNNNNNNNNNNNNNNNNNNNNNNNNNNNNNNNNNNNNNNNNNNNNNNNNNNNNNNNNNNNNNNNNNNNNNNNNNNNNNNGGAUCAAUUCUCCCACGAGUCGUAAGUGACCCAAAAUACCUUAAUAGUACAGAUAUGCCGUAUUUUCUUCCGAGAAAAUAACCACCGCAUAUAUCUUUGCAGUUCGGGCCUUAGCCCCUCUCAGAUGAGCUCGUCUUCGAGGGAUCUUCUUCCGGAGAUGAUGGAGAGCGAAAUGCCUCCUCCGGACUCCUCCGCUCCGGAAGCGGGCGAUCCUGAAGUGUCAUCGCGGAGGGCCUCUCCGGGUCCGGCGAGGCCAGAAGAUAAUUCCGUUGACCCCCGAAGCUUCCCGUGUCCGGCUCCCGAAGAGAGCAGGCAAACGAGUCCGGCACCAUCUAGUGUACGGUCAGAUGUUCUGAGGAAGUUGGUGGGGCGAGCGGCCAUCUCAGAUGAACACCGUGUGCUGAUGAAUACGGUGAUGGAGAGAAUCUCAUCCGCUGAAAGCGGAUUGCAUAAAGCUUUUAUGAGUCUACCAACAGGUUUUGAGGUACAUAAAAUAAUGUAUGAUAGUCCUACACAUGCUAAGUGUGCCUUGUGUAGAUAGUAGCCCCUGAGACUCUGGUUGUCAUUGGGAACGAUGACGAUCAGAGAAUCAUAAUCCCAGGUAGUAACCAUACCGCCUUUAUGAGCAGGUGAUGGAAGAUCCGGUGGCUAGCCGGACUAGCGAGUUUGCCCAUUUAAAACAGCAGUUGGAUGCGGCAGACGCCGACAUCGAGCUUGUUAACAAGAGGCUUGACGAGGCGCAGGGUAGGUGUUAUUAUCUGGUAAAUGCCGCAUAGUAAGAGCAGCAUGAAGCCAGUAUAUUUAACCUGUUAUGACUGCAGAUGGAGCUGCCACUGUUGAAGCCUUGUGGGCGGAACUUGCCCGAGCCAAGGAACAAGCGAGAUUGGGUAAUGCGGCUGCUUUGAAGGCGGCCGAAGAGUUGCGAGCCGAGAAGGCCGCGCAUGGCAAGAGCCGGGAUAAGAUGGCCAGUAUGGCCGUAGAAUUAAAAGCCGUCGUCGACCGUUGCUGGGUUCUUGAAAAGGAAAACCAGGCGAAGGCAUCGGACCUUGAGAAGGCUGCUGCAACGGGAAAAGACCUCCGCUCUGCAAUGAGGGCAAAGAAGGAGGAGCUGCGGGAAGCCGGGGAUAUUGUAGCCGGGAAAUCCUUUAUGCUGCAGAGGAAGUUCGGAGAUCCACGGUAUUCCCCUCUAGAUCGGCUGUGGAGUUCGGAAGAUGUGUAUAUGGAUUUGGCGGCGAGCGCUGCCGACGCGGCCAAGUACUUCCAGAGUUAGACGUACCGUGAAGUAGACCAGCUGUUUUGGAAACAAUUUCUUUCUCCCGAGCGUCCGCUUUUAUUGACGGACCAAUUAGCUGAAUGGGCCGAACUAAAUAGGUUGUCCGGACUCUCCAUGAGGUCUAUUGUGGAUCAGGUAUGCCGGAAAGGUCAAAACCGAGCAGCUAUUUCAGCUUGGUGCAGCAGUUCCUUGACGUGGUGCCGCGCAUAAAUGCGAUGAAGAGGUCGGCGUGCAUAGAAGGCGCAUGAAUGGCCUUUGCCCGUGCUAAAGCAUACUAGGCAGAGAUGGAUGCUACCACUGUUGCAGCACAGGAUUCGGCCAUAGGUCGAAGGGCUGCUGAGCACUACUUUGAGGAAGUUCUUGAGGGUGCUCGUUUGAUAGAGACCAAGUGCUCAAAAAAUAAUUAUGUUUGAUUGACAUGUAAUCUCAUUGUAAGCGAAAUGCUUUUAUAAAUUUUCAUAAGGCUACUUUUAUACUUUUGCCUGAAAGUAGUGUGAUGCCUCCUGGGCGGCCGUUUAUGUAUACAUGUGUAUAACCUGAAAGAUUGCAGUCGUCGGCUUCAACCCCCACGCAUAUAAUGCGGAGGUGUUCGCAGAAACACACGUUCACACUUAACCCAACGUCUUGGUCCUAUUAAGGAGGUGAUAGCGGAGCGAGCGAGGCAACCGGACUAUAACGCUUUAACACUUUCACUUAGCCAUAGGAGUUCGACAGUGGGGCUACUAGAUAGCCCCUGGUGGCUCCGCACUCUCCCGAUCCCGGGGUGCGUACAUGGCUGGCCGGAAAACGGCCCUUCGUUAAGGCGGAGGAAUUCUAACAUUCCCAUGGGUCAUCGAGUGGUUGACCAGUCUCACGCUAUAUCAUGACAGUCAGUUUUCGGCUUUCUCUACUGAGGUGCUCGUCCGGAUGAACCAGGGCACAACCGCAGUAGUUCUCCUGGUGCUACCUUAGCCGGUAAAGCAGAACGUAAGGCACCAAAACACAGGAGCCGGGCAAACCCAACAUUUGACCAAAGACAAUGAUUCGGAGAUGAUGCAUAUAGGGCCAAACUCGCGACGCCGAACACUCCCUAAGGUAUUCGGUCUUUGUGGUAUAAACCGGGCCUAAGUAAUGGCCUUUGUGAGAAGCCCCUUGUGUCCAGGUACGUGCAUUGUUCUAGCGUGGCCACAUGCCAAGACGUCAGCAUCCUUCUCAACGGUGGAUGUGUAUCAACAAGAGAUAGUAAAAAAGGUUUACGCAGGGUCUUAAUCUAAAAAGAAUCCUUGGAGCGGGUCCCUGCUGCACGUCUGCGCCUGUGUCUCUGUUGUGCCGUAUCCUGGACGGGUGUAGCACGAUGAUCGUCUGUAAAAGAGAGAAUUUAGGUGAAAAAGGUUUUCGUGCAAAAAGAUAGUUUUUUAAAGAAACCAUGUACUCCCUCCGUUCCUUAAUAUAAGGUGUAUAGUUUUUGGCACGGAAAUUAAAGAACGCAUGUGGAGGAAAAAUUUCACAAGUUCUGGGCGAGAUUACACCUAACUAAUUGACAUGAGAAAAUAGAGGAGCUAGCCUAAUAUAUGGAAAUGUAAUAAAUUCACUAAAAACAUUAUCCAGACGAGUGGUGCAUUGCAAUACACCUUAUAUUUCGGAUUUUUUCUCAAAAAUCUAUACACCUUAUAUCAAGGAACGGAGGGAGUAUAAUUCAAGAUGAGAAGAAAUUGCCACUUGUCUGCGCGCGUUGAGCCCCUUGUUUUGACAAAUAGGGGCGUGACCAUUUAUUCGGUAUAAGUAGCGGCGCCGGACUCGAUUAGUCGUGUCUGAGGUCUUGACGACCUAUUGGAUGCUUUUGCUAGUCCGGGCGCCUUUAGUGUGCGGCUACCAAGGCAGCCUCACUCUCUUCUGCGCGCAGAGAUCGCUUGAUAUUUCCGUGCACUGAAAUGACGCCACGUGGACCGGGCAUCUUGAGUGUGAGAGAGGCAUAGUGCGGUAUUGCAUUAAAGCGAGUGAAAGCGUCGCGUCCGAGCAGUGCUUGAUAGCCACUUUGAAACGGAGCGAUGUGGAAGGUUAAAUGCUCACGGUGGAAGUUAUCGGGGGAGCCGAAUAUAACUUGUAGUAGGAGGGAGCCCGUACAAUGAACCCCUGGGCCUGGCGUUACUCCUUUAAAGGUAGUAUUGCUAUGGCGAAUUUGUGUUGGGUCUAACCUCAUUCCGCGGAUUGUAUACUGGUAUAUUAGGUUUAGGCUGCUGCCACCGUCCAUCAAGACUCGUGUGAAGUGAUAUCCGCCAAUUACUGGGUCUAAUACCAGGGCAACCAUCCUGUGUGUCGGAUACUUGCUGAGUAAUCACGAUGGUCGAAAGUGAUCGGUUGAGAUGACCAGUGGCAUGACUUCGCGGUGAUAGGCACUUGGGUAUAUUUUCCUGGGAGUGCCGCAUUGUUUUUUCCCUUGAUCACGUGUAACAUGUUUACUGUUUUGGCUUCUGGUGGAAAUUUCUUUUGUUCCCCCGUGUCUUGCUUGGGGGGCUCGUCCUUUGGGUGCGAACCCUCGCCUGGGUCGCAUGUUGUAUUGUGAGCGGCAUUGUAUGCCGCUCUGUGUUGGUAGAGGGGUCGUGUAUCCAACCAGGUGGUUGCUUUCAUAUUUGGUUGUGGGGGGUCUGCGGCCUCCUCAUCGAAUUCGGGUAGCAGCUUCCGCUUUGGGUAGCUCUUGGAGGGGCGAUUAUCGCCGUACCUUGCUGCAGUGUUGAGUAUUUUGCUCCAUCUAAAUUGGAGUGUGUCUUGCGCGGCCUUGAGCCUUCGCUUCUGCUUUUUAAGGCUCCUCGCGGUGGCAACAAGCCUUUUACGGGCGUUCUACUGCUCCGGGUGCCUGUCGGGCGUUAUGUCGUCCGGACCAUUAUCCUUGAUAGGAUUUGUUUGUUCGGUUUAAUUAUCCGGAUUGCCGUUGUUCGGUUCGCCCUGCUCCAGCGCUGGGUCUGUGUAAUCGCUAUUUCUGUCGAGGCGGGAUUUGGGGCGGCGCUUGCGUCGCUGCUUUGACUGCUUUUCGAGGGAACAAUCCUUCGGUGCGUCCUUCCGCUCUUCAUCGUCAUCUUUUGGUGCGUCCACCAUGUAUACGUCGUAUGACGAGGUGGCGUUCCAGGGCUCAAUAGGCGCUGGUUCUUCAUCGUCUCCUUCAUUGGCGUCCAUACCGUCAAUGUCGUCGGAGUCGAAGUCGAGCAUGUGGGUUAAGUCGUCGACAAUGGCUACGAAGUGGGUGGUGGGUGGGUUUUGAAUUUCUUCAUCGUCCGUACCCCAACCUUGCUGACCGUAGUCUGGCCAGGGCUCUCUUGAUAAAGAGAGAGACUUCAGUGACUUCAGGAUAUCGCCGAAAGGCGAGUGCUGAAAGACGUCCGCGGCUGUGAACUCCAUGAUCGGCGCCCAAUCGGAUUCGAUCGGCAGGGGCGCGGAGGGUUCGGAGUCCGGAGAAGAAUCCGUCUCCAUGGAGUCACGAGUCUUGCAGAGUACAGGGCUGGUGUUUGGCUCAACCGCCGUUGGGAUUACAGCCCCCGAGGUGGCGUCCAACCGCCCAUCCUCGAUCGGCGCGGUUGGCUCCGAACUAAGGGUCGGAGCCGAUGCGGGUGCGGCCUCCAGGGCACUGUUCGGCGGCAGAGCUAGAUCGUGCUCAUCGUGACAGUGAGGCGCGCUCGGUAGUGGUUCGAAUCCGUCGAAGAUCAAGUCUCCGCGGAUGUCAGCCGUGUAGUUUAAACUUCCGAAUCUGACCUGACGGCCAGGGUCGUAGCUUUCGAUCUGCUCUAAAUGGCCAAGCGAAUUGGCCCGCAGUGCGAAGCCGCCAAAGACGAAGAUCUGUCCGGGGAGGAAGGUCUCACCCUGGACUGCAUCACUAUUGGUGAUCGUAGGAGCCAUUGGGCCUGACGGUGACGGCACAAAGGAACUCUCAAUGAAAGCACCAAUGUCGGUGUCAAAACUAGCGGAUCUCGGGUAGGGGGUCCCGAACUGUGCGUCUAGGCCGGAUGGUAACAGGAGGCAAGGGACACGAAGUUUUACCCAGGUUCGGGCCCUCUCAAUGGAGGUAAAACCCUACGUCCUGCUUGAUUAAUAUUGAUGAUAUGGGUAGUACAAGAGUAGAUCUACCACAAGAUCAGAGAGGCUAAACCCUAGAAGCUAGCCUAUGGUAUGAUUGUUGAUGUGUAUAUGUCGUCCUAGGGACUAAAACCCUCCGGUUUAUAUAGACACCGGAGAGGGUUAGGGUUACAUAGAGUCGGUUACAAUGGUAGGAGAUCUGAACAUCCGUAUCGCCAAGCUUGCCUUCCACGCCAAGGAAAGUCCCUUCCGGACACGGGACGGAGUCUUCAAUCUUGUAUCUUCAUAGUCCAGGAGUCCGGCUGAAGGUAUAGUUCGGCUAUCCGAACACCCCCUAAUCCAGGACUCACUCACUAAUAAUGAUGAUCAUGAAACUUCAGAUCAAGUCACUACCGAACCUUGUAGGUCAACCAGAGCAUGUUCCGCACCAGAAUGGUACGGUAACCCUAUUCUGGAAGUCAUGUUACUAGACCAUGACGAACCUACGAACUAUGAAGAAACUAUGAUGGGCCCAGAUUCCGAUAAAUGGCUUGAGGCCAUGAAAUCUGAGAUAGGAGACAUGUAUGAGAACAAAGUGUGGACUUUGGUUGACUUGCCCGAUGAUCGGCGGGCCAUACAGAAUAAAUGGAUCUUCGAGAAGAAGACUGACGCUGAUGGUAAUGUUACUGUCUACAAAUCUUGACUUGUCGCAAAAGGUUUUCGACAAGUUCAAGGAGUUGACUACGAUGAGACUUUCUCACCCAUAGCGAUGCUUAAGUCUGUCCGAAUCAAGUUAGAAAUUGCCGCAUUUUAUGAUUAUGAAAUGUGGCAAAUGGACGUCAAAACUGCAUUCCUUAACGGACUUCUUAAAGAAGAGUUGUAUAUGAUGCAACCAGAAGGUUUUGUCGAUCCUAAAUGUGCUAACAAAGUGUGCAAGCUCCAGCGAUCCAUCUAUGGACUGGUGCAAGCAUCUCGGAGUUGGAAUAUACGCUUUGAUGAGGUGAUCAAAGCAUAUGGUUUUAUACAGACUUUUGGUGAAGCCUGUAUUUACAAGAAAGUGAGUGGGAGCUCUAUAGCAUUUCUAAUAUUAUACGUGGAUGACAUAUUGUUGAUUGGAAAUGAUGUAGAAUUUAUGGAUAGCAUAAAAGGAUACUUGAAUAAAAGUUUUUCAAUGAAAGACCUCGGUGAAGAUACUUUUAUAUUGGGCAUCAAGAUCUAUAGAGAUAGAUCAGGACGCUUAAUUGGACUUUCACAAAGCACAUACCUUGAUAAAGUUUUGAAGAAGAUCAAAAUGGGUCAGUCAAAGAAAGUGUUCUUGCCUGUGUUAUGAGGUGUGAAGUUGAGUCAGACUCAAUGCUCGACCACUGCAGAAGAUAGAGAGAAAAUGAAAGUCAUUCCCUAUGCCUCAGCCAUAGGUUCCAUCAUGUAUGUUGUGCUGUGUACCAGACCUAAUGUGUGCCUUGCUAUAAGUUUAGCAGGGAGGUACCAAAGUAAUCCAGCAGUGGAUCACUAGACAACGGUCAAGAACAUCCUGAAGUACCUGAAAAGGACUAAGUAUAUGUUUCUCGUUUAUGGAGGUGACAAAGAGUUCAUCAUAAAUGGCUACGUUGAUGCUAGCUUUGACACUGAUCUGGAUGACUCUAAGUCACCAACCGGAUAUGUAUUUAUAUUGAAUGGUGGAGUUGUCAGUUGGUGCAGUUCCAAGCAGAGCGUCGUGGCGGGAUCUACGUGUGAAGCGGAGUACAUAGCUGCUUCAGAAGCAGCAAAUGGAGGAGUUUGGAUGAAGGAGUUCAUAUCCGAUCUAGGUGUAAUACCUAGUGCAUCGGGUCCAAUGAAAAUAUUUUGUGACAAUACUGGAGAAAUUGCCUUGGCGAAGGAAUCCAGAUUUUACAAAAGAACCAAACUGUAGGAUCAAAAGUAUAUCUAGAGGGUGGGGGUGAUUAGACUACUUGACCAAAUCAAAAUCUAGCAUUUUCCCAGUUUUAAGUCUUGGCAGAUUUUAGCAGCUUAUCACAAGUCAAGCAAUCAACCUACACAUGCAAUUCUAAGAGCAUAGCAGCAGAGUGUAAAUCACUGCAUAUGAAGGUAAACGGAGGAGUUUGAGGGAGCAAACAAAAUGUAGACACGGAGAUUUUUGGCAUUGUUCCAAUAGAUGGUGCUAUCAUACAUCCACGUUGAUGGAGACUUCAACCCACGAAGGGUAACAGUUGCGCGAGUCCACGGAGGGCUCCACCCACGAAGGGUCCAUGGAGAAGCAACCUUGUCUAUCCCACCAUGGCCAUCACCCACGAAGGACUUGCCUCGCUUGGGUAGAUCUUCACGAAGUAGGCAAUCUCCUUGCCCUUACAAACUCCUUGGUUCAACUCCCCAAUCUCGACGGAGGCUCCCAAGUGACACCUAACCAAUCUAGGAGACACCACUCUCCAAAAGGUAAUAGAUGGUGUGUUGAUGAUGAACUCCUUGCUCUUGUGCUUCAAAUGAUAGUCUUCCCAACACUCAACUCUCUCUCACAGAUUUGGAUAUGGUGGAAGGAUGAUUUGAGUGGAAAGCAACUUGGGGAAGGCAAGAGAUCGAGAUUCUUGUGAUUGGAAUGGAAUGUCUUGGUCUCAACACAUGACUAGGUGGUUCUCUCUCAGAAAAUGAGUAGUAGAAGUGUAAGCACGUUCUGAUGGCUCUCUCCUUGGAUGGAGGAUGGGUGGAGGGGUAUAUAUAGCAUCCACACAAAAUCUAACCGUUACACACAAUUUACCAAACUUGGUGGGGCCGAAUAGUGAAACUCAGUCAGACCGAUUUAGUUGAAAAUGUGAACGUUGGGAUUUUCGAUGGGACCGACAUGAUCAACUCGGUGGGACCGAUUGAGUUAGGAUUAGGUCAUAACUUAAUCUCGGUGAGACCGAUCACAUGACCUCGGUGAGACCGAUUUCAGUAAUAGGCAAACAGAGAGUUGGUCAGGCAAACUCGGUGGGACCGAUCACUCAUUUCAGUGAGACGAAAACAUUACGAAAAGGAAAUAGAGAGUUUGCAUUGCAAACUCGGUGGGACCGAUCACUCAUCUCGGUUAUACCGAAACAUUAUGAAGGGAAAUAGAGAGCUUGCAAUCCCAUCUUGGUGAGACCAAACUGAUUAGGGUUUCUGGCUAUGGCUAUGUCAAGUGAACUCGGUGGCGCCGGAUAGAUCAAAUCAGUUGGGCCGAGUUCGACUUUUGGUUUGGGACAAAUAUGGAAAUGAGAAAGUGGUUGAGGGCUUUUGGAGCAUAUCACUAAGCAUUUUGAGCAAGCAAGCCAUUAAGCAACACCUCAUCUCCUUUUAAUAGUAUUGGCUUUUCCUAUGGACUCAAUGUGAUCUUGGAUCACUAAAAUGAAAAUGUAGAGUCUUGAGCUUGUGCCAAUAUGUGUCCUUAGCAUUUUGAGGGGUCCACAUCUCUAGUCAUGCCAUGCCAAUCAUUGAACUUUAUGAAAAUAUUAUCUUGAAUGGAUAUUAGUUCAGUGAGCUAUAUGUUGUUAAUAAUUACCAAAACCACCCAGGGAUUAGUUGCACUUUCAAUCUCCCCCUUUUUGGUAAUUGAUGACAACAUAUAGAUCAAAGCUUCGUCAAAUGAUAAAAUGAAUGAAAUACAUUGUCGCUUUGAGAAGUAUGUGAUAAGAAAGAGCUUCCCCUAAAUUUUUGCAUUAUUUAAAAUUUGCUUGUGAAUGCAAAUGCACAAUCGAUUAGGAUCAUGAGUUACUCUUCCAUGUCACAUACAUCUUGGUGGAGCGCUCAAAAUGAUAGAAUAUGAAAUAUACACUCAUCACCAAGACAAAGUGAAUGAUCAUACAUGAGAGAUAGAUAAUACCAUCAUCCAAGCACAAACAUUGAAGUAUGAUAUGAUCAAGAACAUGACCAUACAAGUAUCUCACACACACAACCAUAUAGUAUCAUCCAAGCAAGCAAACAAAUAAGUAUCAAACAAGUAGAAAAAGAGAUAGCAAAAAGAAGCAAAGCUCUCUCUCUUUCUCGAACCCUAUGAUCUAUACACUUUCUCCCCCUUUGGCAACAAGUUACCAAAAAGCUUGAAAAUUCAUAGUGCUAUGUGGCUCUCUAAGAUUGAUCUUCGGGAGGUGGCAUGGAGAGGAUUCCUACGACAAAUGCAUCUGUAGAGGUAGUAGGAGCUAGUGGAGUUGCAACCAGAGGGGCAACUGAAGCUGUGGCUGCAGGAGCUGAAGUUGUCGCUCUAGUAUCUGUCACUGGCACUGCUGCAGACCUGUGCCUCCUGGGAACCCUUUGAUAUGCAUCAGUGGUGGUCUUGUCACUCCUAUCCUCAAUCUCUUCUUGGAUCUUCUCUACUGAAGUCUGAAUCUCAAUCACUUUGACAUCCAAGUCAUGAAGUUUUGUCUCGAAAAUUCUUUGAAGACUCUCUUGAUUUUGAGUCAGGUUGGCCAAACCUUUCUCAAUCCUCAAAGUGGCUUGAAUAAGAUAACCUAGUUGGUCUUGUUUUGACUUGAGAAAAACUUGUGAAGCUUCUUCCGCACUUGGCAUCUUGGCUGCCUUCUCUUCUUUUGCUUUUGCUCUCUUCUCUUGAGCCUCUACUAAAGUAGGUUUUGUAGUAUCCAUGACAAUUGUGUUAUACUCAAAGUCAGGCCUCAAGGGAAGAUGCUCUUUGUCCAACAGAUAUAUGUCUUUGCCCAUCUUUGAGUUGAUGAGCAUCUGAAUGUGUGGAGCAUACCCACAUGAUCUCUUCUGAUCAGCAGCAGUCCUCUUGAUUGUCUCUAUAAUCAGUGUCAUCACCUUGAACUUUUAUGGCACAUCAAACAUAUGCAGCAAGUUUAUAGAAUGGCCUCUGAUCAUCCUAUGAUCUCCAGACUUGGGCAACAAUAUGUGCCUAAGGAUGGUAUUGAUUGUGGGCAGUCCUGACAGAAGAUAGUAGACAGAGCCAAACUUGUGAUGUUCCAAAGCUGCAUCUGGAAUCUCUUUGUACAUAUGUGACAUGGAGUUGUGUCCCUUCCUUAGCUUGGCAUACACAUCAGUGUCAUCAUCAUGCUCUUUAGGGGCAUUGAUCAGCUUGGACAACUCAACAACAGUUGACCGGUACCUUGUACCUUCAGACAUCCAAACAAUUCUUCCAUCUGGAUAAAAAUGAGUUGUUGAAUAGAAUUGCAUAAUGAGCUCAUCAUUCCACUUGGUCAAUUUUUGACCCACAAAGGCACAAACUCCAUUCAUCCUAAAGCUCUCAUGAACUCCAGGGAAGUGGUCUUCAUGUUGUCUGAUAACCCACAAGUAUAGGGGAUCGCAACAGUUUUCGAGGGUAGAGUAUUCAACCCAAAUUUAUAGAUUCGACACAAGGGGAGCCAAAGAAUAUUUGAAGGUAUGAGCAGCUGAGUUGUCAAUUCAACCACACCUGGAGAUUAAUUAUUGUAGCAAAGUGAUCAGUAGCAAAGUAGUUUGAUAGUUUUGAUAAUAGUGACAGCAGCAACGGUAACAGUAACAGUGAUAGCAGUAAUUUGUAGCAAGUGUAACAGUGAUGAUAGCAAUACUAACAUAGCAAGAUCAAUAAGGAUAAAUUCGUAGGCAUUAGAUCGGUGACUUGUUGGAUGAUAUUCAUCAUGUGACAGUUAUAACCUAGGGCGAUACUACACUAGCUGCACUUCAUCGAUAUAAUGUAGGCAUGUAUUCCGUAAAUAGUCAUACGUGCUUUAUUAAAAGAACUUGCAUGACAUCUUUUGUCCUACCCUCCCGUGGUAGCGGGGUCCAUAUUGCAAAACUAAGGGAUAUUAAGGCCUCCUUUUAAUAGAGAACAGGAACAAAGCAUUAAAACAUAGUAACUACGGUCAUCACCGGGAGUGGGCCUGGUUGUUGUCACUCCGGGGUUGCCGGAUCAUAACCAUAGUAGGUGACUAUAACUUGAAAUAUCGGAUCCAAAACAUGGAUAUAAUGAUGAAUUCAUAAAUGGUUCAGAUCUGAAAUCAUGGCACCCGGGCCCAAAGUGACAAGCAUUAAGCAUGGCAAAGUCAUAACAACAUCAAUCUAAGAACAUAGUGGAUACUAGGGAUCAAGCCCUAACAAAACUAACUCGAUUACACGAUGAAUCAUAUCCAACUCCUCACUGACCAGCGAGUCUAUGAAGGAAUUACUCACUCCCGGUGGGGAGCAUCAUGGAAUUGGCAAUGGAGAAGGGUUGGUGAUGAUGAAUGAUACGUCUCCAACGUAUCUAUAAUUUUUGAUUGUUCCAUGCUAUUAUAUUAUCUGUUAUGGAUGUUUAAUGGGCUUUAACAUACCUUUUUAUAUUAUUUUUGGGACUAACCUACUAACCAAAGGCCCAGUGCAAAUUGCUGUUUUUUUUGCUUAUUUCAGUGUUUCGUAGAAAAGGAAUACCAAAUGGAAUCCAAACGGAAUGAAACCUUCGGGAGAGUUAUUUUUGGAACAAACGCAAUCCAGGAGACUUGGAGUGGACAUCAAGGAAGCAACAAGGCGGCCAUGAGGCAGGAGGGUGCACCGAGGGGGGGGGGGGUAGGCGCGCCCCCACCCUCGUGGCUCCGCUGACCUACUUCUUUCGCCUAUAUAUACUCAUAUACCCCAAAAACAUCCGAGAGCACCACGAAACCCUAUUUCCACCGCCGCAACCUUCCGUACCCGCGAGAUCCCAUCUUGGGGCCUUUUCCGGUGCUCCGCUGGAGGGGGAAUCGAUCAUGGAGGGCUUCUACAUCAACACCAUAGCCUCUCCGAUGAUGUGUGAGUAGUUUACCACAGACCCUCGGGUCCAUAGUUAUUAGCUAGAUGGCUUCUUCUCUCUCUUUGGAUCUUAAUACAAAGUUCUCCUCGAUUCUCUUGGAGAUCUAUUUGAUGUAAUUCUUUUUGCGGUGUGUUUAUCAAGAUCCGAUGAAUUGUGGGUUUAUGAUCAAGAUUAUCUAUGAACAAUAUUUGAUUCUUCUCUGAAUUCUUUUAUGCAUGAUCUAAUAUCUUUGCAAGUCUCUUCGAAUUAUCAGUUUGGUUUGGCCUACUAGAUUGAUCUUUCUUGCAAUGGGAGAAGUGCUUAGCUUUGGGUUCAAUCUUGCGGUGUCCUUUCCCAGUGACAGAAGGGGCAGCAAGGCACGUAUUGUAUUGUUGCCAUCGAGGAUAAAAAGAUGGGGUUUAUAUCAUAUUGCUUGAGUUUAUCCCUCUACAUCAUGUCAUCUUGCCAAACACGUUACUCUGUUCUUAUGAACUUAAUACUCUAGAUGCACGUUGGAUAGCGGUCGAUGUGUGGAGUAAUAGUAGUAGAUGCAUAAUCAUUUCGGUCUACUUGUCGUGGACGUGAUGCCUAUAUACAUGAUCAUGCCUAGAUAUUCUCUUAACUAUGCGCUUUUCUAUCAUUUGCUCGACAGUAAUUUGUUCACCCACCAGAGAAUUUGCUAUCUUGAGAGAAGUCACUAGUGAAACCUAUGGCCCCGGGUCUAUCUUCCAUCAUAUUAUUUUCCUAUUUACUUGCUAUUUCUAUCGUUGUUUAUUUUGCAAUCUUUAUUUUCCAAUCUAUACAAUAAAAAUACAAAAAAUAUUUAUCUUAUUAUCUCUAUCAGAUCUCACUUUCGUAAGUGACCGUGAAGGGAUUGACAACCCCUUUAUCGCGUCGGUUGCGAGGUUCUUGUUUGUUUGUGCAGGUAAUAGGGACUUGUGUGUUACCUCCUACUGGAUUGAUACCUUGGUUCCCAAAAACCGAGGGAAAUACUUACGCUACUUUACUGCAUAACCCUUUCCUCUUCAAGGGAAAACCAACGCAUGCUCAAGAGGUAGCAAGAAGUAUUUCUGGCGCCGUUGCCGGGGAGGUUGCACCAAGUCAAGUCAAGAUUUGAUCUCCUGUCAACAAGCCAUUUCUGGCGCCGUUGAUGGGGAGAUCUACGCACAAGUCAAGACAUACCAAGUACCCAUCACAAACUCUUAUCCCUCACAUUACAUUAUUUGCCAUUUGCCUCUCGUUUUCCACUUCCCCACUUCACCCUUGUUGUUUUAUUCGCCCUCUUUUCCAUUCGCCCUCUUUUCCGUUUGCCUCUUUUUGCUUGCUUCUUGUGUGCUUGUGUGUUGGAUUGUUUGUCACGAUGUCUCAAGACAAUACUAAAUUGUGUGACUUUUCCAAUACGAACAAUAAUGAUUUUCUUAGCUCUCCGAUUUCUCCUCUUACCGAUGUUGAAUCUUGUGAAAUUAAUACUGCUUUGCUGAACCUUGUUAUGAAAGAUCCGUUUUCUGGCCUUCCUAGUGAAGAUGCCGCUACCCAUCAAAACAACUUUGUUAAUUUGUGUGAUAUGCAAAAGAAGAAAGAUGUGGAUAAUGAUAUUUCUAAAUUGAAGCUAUUUCCGUUUUCGCUUAGAGAUCGUGCUAAAAAAGAUUGCUUUAUAAAAGCAUGUUCUUCUAGUUUUCACGAUAAUAAGGACAAAGAUCUGAAACUGAUUGAUGUGUCUCCUAUUAAAUCUUUGUUUUGCAAUAUGAAUCUUGAUAAUGAUGGGACUGGAGAUGAGUCAACUUUAGUUAAAAGGCGUCCCAAUGAUUCUGAGUUUUUAGAUCUUGAUGCAAAAAUUGGUAAAAGUGGGAUUGAAGAGGUCAAAACUUUACAUAGAAAUAAACCCACUAUUUUGGAUUUCAAGGAAUUUAAUUAUGAUAAUUUCUCUUUGAUAGAUUGUAUUUCCUUGUUGCAAUCCGUGCUAAAUUCUCCUCAUGCUUAUGAUCAAAAUAAAGCUUUUACCAAACAUAUCGUUGAUGCUUUAAUGCAAUCUUAUGAAUAAAAGCUUGAAUUAGAAGUUUCUAUCCCUAGAAAACUUUAUGAUGAUUGGGAACCUACUAUUAAAAUUAAAAUUAAAGAUCAUGAAUGCUAUGCUUUAUGUGAUUUAGGUGCUAGUGUUUCCACGAUUCCAAAAACUUUGUGUGAUGUGUUAGGUUUCCGUGAAUUUGAUGAUUGUUCUUUAAAUUUGAUCUUGCGGAUUCCACUAUUAAGAAACCUAUGGGAAGGAUUAAUGAUGUUCUUAUUGUAGCAAAUAGGAAUAUAUGCCCAUAGAUUUCAUUGUUCUUGAUAUAGAUUGCAAUCCUGAUACGUCUCCAAUGUAUCUAUAAUUUUUGAUUGCUCCAUGCUAUAUUAUCUACUGUUUUGAAUGUUUAUGGGCUUUAUUAUACACUUUUAUAUCACUUUUGGGACUAAACUACUAACCCAGAGCCCAGUGCCAGUUUCUGUUUUUACCCUGUUUUAGGGUUUCGAAGAAAAGGAAAAUCAAACGGAGUCCAAUUGACCUGAAACUUCACAGAACUCAUUUUUGGAAGGAAAGAAGCCCAGAAGACUUGGAGUGCACGUCGGGGGAUCUGCGAGGAGGUCACGAGGUAGGGGGGCGCGCCCACCCCCUAGGCGCGCCCUCCACCCUCGUGAGCCCCUCAUGGCCCCUUGACGUACUUCUUAUGCCUAUAUAUCUCCAUAUACCCUAAAAACAUCUGUGAACACAUAGAUCGGGAGUUCCGUCGCCAGAAGCCUCCGUAGCCACCAAAAGCCAAUCUAGACCUGUUCCGGCACCCUGCCGGAGGGGUAAUCCUUCUCCGGUGGUGUAAGUGCAUCUAGUGCCACCCCUAGUUGGUUUUGGAGUAUUGACGACAAACCUAGUUGAGGGACUAAUGUGUUUGUGAGAAUUGCAGGAUAACACAGGUAGAAGUCCCUCAUUGAUUCAGUUUUCCUACCAGAGACGACCCCUAAAAAUGAAUGAAGACAUUGAAGUCAAAGGUGGUAUGUGAAGACAUUCACAUUGAAGACUAUGACAAGAGAAGACAUCGCAUGAAGACUAUGGAGCGCGAAGACUUAGUUGUUUCGUCGUUCUUUUUCUUCUUUGUUGAGUCAUAGGAACCACCGUACUGUUAAGUGGGGUCCAAGUGAACCAGUCAGAAUGACUGAAGUGAUGCUUAACCAAAAUCCUAUGUCUUCGAGUGAAGACUAUGAGAGCAAAUCUUGUCCAGAGUUGGAUAAGUCAGCUUUUCUUGUAGCCCAAGUACAGUUGACGUGUGUGUUUGAAAUCUGACCGUUGGAACAUGUGUCAGUUCCUUAGUGACCAAGGGUCAUUUCAGACAAAUCAGGUCGGGUUGCCUAGUGGCUAUAAAUAGCCCACCCCUACAACCAUAAACGGUUGGCUGCUCAGAGUUAGAGUACGGCUUUUGUUGUUUGAGAGGAACCCACCUCGAAGCCUUUGAGAGAGAAUUCCUUGCGAGGAUAAAGCCCUAAACACCCAGAGCCAAAGAGUGUUAGGCAUCACUUAAGUCUUCCUGUCUGUGUGAUCUGAAGACUUAUUACACUUGAGGACUGUGAAUCCUCCAGCCGGUUAGGCAUCGCGUUCUGAGCAUCCAAGAGUCAUUGUGGGUCGCCAGUGAACAAAGUCUGUGAAGGUUUGGAAGUCUACCUUGAAGACUUACCAAAGUGAUUGGGCAAGGACUGGGUGUCCUUAGAUCAAGGGGAAUAAGGUGAAGACGAGGUCUUCUGAGUUGAAUCUUAGCCUCCCUAACCAGACGUACAGUUGUCACAGCAACUGGAACUGGUCCAACAAAUCAUUGUCUUCAACGAGUCACUGGUUUCAUGCUUCCCUUCCCCUUGCCUACUGUUGGUCCUUGUGAAGUCAUUCUAUGAUUGCAUUAUCUUUUGUCUUCACUAAGUGACUACUUGUUCUGAUUGGCUUCACAAUAUCUUCCUACCUGAUCUUUACUGCCUAGUUGCUAUUAGUCAUUGUGCUUUCACUUUGUUGAAUACUUGACUAUGGUUUGCCUAGUGUAGUCUACCUUCCGCUGCAUGGUAAUAGGUUUAUUUCUAUCAUUUGUCUUCGAAACUUCCAUGUCUUGAAGACUUCCAUAAAAAUCGCCUAUUCACCCCCCCUCUAGUCGAUCACUAGCACUUUCAAUUGGUAUCAGAGCAAGGUACUCCCUUGUUCUGUGUGAUUCGGUUUAACCACCUGGAGUUUUAGCUAUGUCGACUGUAGGGAUAAUCAAGGUCUCCGCUGCUUGUCCCGUCUUCGAUGGAACUGAAUAUCCCUACUGGAAGAAUAAGAUGCGCAUGCAUCUUGAAGCCAUUGAUGUCGACCUAUGGUAUGUCGUCAAGAAUGGCGUUCCCAAGGCUGGUGAAGGUGUCACCGCUGUUGAUGUCAAGAAGUUCGUUCAACUGGACUCCACUGCCAAGAACAUCAUCUAUGGUCAUCUGACCAAAGGAUAGUAUGGCCGCGUGAGUGCUUUGGAAACAUCUAAGCUAGUCUGGGACUGGCUCUCCAAGGUCAAUGAAGGUGUCUCAACCCAGAGAGAUCAGAGAAUCAGUGUCCUUCGCAACCUCUUCAACCGCUUCAAGAGAAAUGACAAUGAGAACGUCCAGCUCACGUUUGAUCGACUCACUGACAUCACAAAUGAGCUUCAAGCUCUCGGCGCCACUGAGAUCACCAAGCAUGAAGUCGUCAAGGCACUCCCGAGAUCACUUGAUAGCUCGUUUGACACCCUAGCCCUGAUGAUUCAAGAACGUCCUGAUUUCAAGACACUCGAUCCGUCUGACAUACUUGAGAGGCUCAACACACAUGAGUUUCAGCUUUCUGAGAAAAGAGACAUCUAUGGUCCCAACUAUGGGCGAACUCGUGCCUUGAAGGCAAAAGCUGUCUCCUCAUCUGAAGAAGAAUCUGACAGUAGUUCUGAUGAUCCUGAAGACAUUGGAAAGGAGCUUGCUAUGCUUGUGAAGAAGUUUCAAAAAUUCACCAAGAAGAAAGGCUUCAGAAAGUCUUCACGAUCAAGCUCAAGGAAUGAUGAAGCUUCUGCUCAUGACUACAAGAAGAGAACAUGCCACAAGUGCAAGAAACCUGGCCACUUCAUCUCUGAGUGUCCGCAGUGGGACAAUGAGAACAACAAGAAGAAGAAGAGCAAGGAAUAUGACUCUGACGACAAGAAGAAGAAGAAAUACUCAAAGUCUUCUUCCAAGUCUUCCUCUAAGUCUUCAUCACACAAGAAGAGCUCAUCUGGCAAGGCACGUGUGUUUGUUGGCAAGGAAAUGGAUUCAGAGGAGGAGUCCGCUUCUGAGGGGGCGGAGGUGGAGUCUGAGGAGGAGUCCGAUUCUGGCGUUGCGAGUCUGGCUACAACAUACGUUGCCAAGUCCAUCUUCAACACUGAAGACAAUGACUUCAUCACUGACACCGAUGCAAAUGACAAGGACUACUCCGCUCCUACCUACUGCUUCAUGGCAGGCGGUGCCAAGGUAAACACACGCACUACUCACUAUCAAACAUCUAGUGAAGAUGACUCUGAUUGUGGUUCCAAACCCAGCUACAAAACACUUGCUAAAAUUGCAACUGAACAACAGAAAGCUAUGGAACAUAUUCAAAAACUGUUAGACAAAAGCGAUGAUCUGUUAGACACUGAAAUGACUCGAUCUCAGUCCUUAAUUGAAGACAUAAAAAAUCUUCACGUUAAGUAUGAGGAACUUGAAAGUCGUCAUGAAACGCUCUCAACAACUCAUGAAAAGCUUUCCUAUGAUUAUCUUCAAAGGAAGCAAGAUCUUGAGAAAUUGAGAGCGGCUCAUGAAGAUCUUCAAAAGGAAAACGAGUCACUUCGCGCCGAACAGAUCAGUCCCGCUCAGGAAGGAUUUGAACCACCAUGUCUUAAAUGCCUUGAGCGUGAUAACGCUACUUUUGUUGCUGAAUGUUCUACUGCUGCUCCUGUUGCAAUAUCUUCAACUGAUGAUGUGGUAACUAACCCCUCUGCUGAGGAUACCACUGCUAUUGCUGAUGAGAAUGCUACGUUGAAGACAUUGCUUGAAACAGGGAUGUACAAAAGUCUCAAAGGGCAUCAAACACUAUGUGAUGUCCUCAAAAGGCAGAUCCUGAACCAAAACCCUAGGAAAGAGGGUGUUGGGUUCGAAAGGAAAAUGAAUGUUGAUGGCUCUUACUGGAAACCUGAGCAGUACCCCAAGACCACAUGGGUUGCUGCAAAGGAACCUUCAGCGGAUCCAUCCACCCUAUCUGGCUUCACUUGUGCUAAUCCCAUUAUUAUUGAUGAAUCCUUUGAUGCAAACUAUAAACUGUUUACGAAUCAGAAUGGUGAAGUGUUUGCCAGGUAUAUUGGUACUAACUGCAGGAAUGGACCGCCUAUGAAGAAGGUCUGGGUGCCGAAAAGGUGUUUGGAGAAUCUUCCUGUGAAUGUCAUCAUGACACCACAGGUGAAGAAGACAAACCCCAGACCACAGGCUUCAUAUGAUCCAAAGGCUUCAUCCAGACAGAGGACUCACCUGAGUCGCACUAACGCAAAUGUUUUGCAGGGAAACUAUACUCAUGCCUGUGAAUAUGUGCGCGUUUCAUCAAACCACCAUGUUCAUAAGACCAACAACUAUUCUGCUUAUUCUUAUGAGCACUAUUGUCCACCUGCAAGACUUUUUGCUAGGGCUCCAAAGCCAAAGUUCUCAGAUGCUGCACUUAGACUCAUUACUUCGAAGCCACCCUUGAAGAUAUGGGUGGCUAAGAAAGCUUAACUCUCUUUUGCAGGGAAAGGUCUCCAGCCGAAAACCAAAAUCGUCUGAUGCUAUUGCCGGGGACCUUAAACAUCUUGUAGGGUGCAAGAUCAAAUGCCCAAAUGGUCUUAUUAUGUAUUUUGUUCCUGAGUCACUUGCCACUUGCUCUAUCAGUCCUACCCUUGAUUUAAGCCUUCAUAAUCCACUUGCUCGUCAAAUGUUUAUGCUUCACAAUUCUCUUCAUGAAGCCUAUCCCCCUAACUGCACUGUAGGGUACGACACCAGCUGCUUCAGAAUGGAUUAUUGAUAGUGGGUGUACCAAUCACAUGACUGGCAAGCGAAGCCUUCUUAUGGACUCAACCUUACGUCCAUCUGACAAAAGUCACAUCACAUUUGCUGACACUAGUAAAAGCAAGGUAUUGGGUCUAGGUAGAGUUGCAAUCUCAAAGGAUCAACACAUGGAUAAAGUCAUGCUUGUUGAAUCCCUUGGUUUCAACUUAAUGUCUGUCUCAAUGCUUUGCGAUUUAAACAUGAUUGUGAUGUUUGGAAAAUAUCGUUGCCUUGUUCUAAUGGAAUCUGACAAGUCUCUAGUGUUUGAAGGGUACCGGAAAGAUGAUUUGUACGUGGUAGAUUUCUUAACAGGUCCACAACUUGCCGUAUGUCUUCUAGCAAAAGCUUCUGAAUGCUGGCUCUGGCAUCGGAGGCUAGGGCAUGCUGGCAUGAGGAACCUCCACACCCUUGCAAGGAAGAAGCAUGUCAUAGGCAUCGAGGGCGUCAACUUCAAGAAGGAUCACUUAUGCGGUGCCUGUGAAGCAGGAAAGAUGAUGAGGGCCAAGCAUCCCUCGAAGACAAUCAUGACAAAGACUCAACCCUUCGAAUUGCUCCACAUGGAUCUUUUUGGUCCCACUCAUUACUCAACUCUUACUACUACUGCUUGUCUCUAUGGCUUUGUCAUUGUUGAUGAUUAUUCAAGAUAUACUUGGGUGCAUAUAAUCCUCUACAAGACUGAAGUGCGGGAUGUCUUCAGACGCUUCGCCAAUCGAGCCAUGAACAACUAUGGCGUCAAGAUCAAGCACAUCAGAAGUGACAAUGGCAUUGAAUUCAAGAACACUGGUCUAGACACUUAUCUUGAUACAUUGGGCAUCACACAUGAAUUCUCAGCUCCGUACACACCACAGCAGAAUGGCGUCGUGGAACGCAAGAACAGAACACUCAUUGAGAUGGCCCGGACAAUGCUUGAUGAAUACAAGACUCCAAGAAAGUUCUGGCCUGAAGCCAUUGAUACUGCAUGCCAUAUCAUCAACCGUGUGUAUCUUCACAAACUUCUCAACAAGACAUCCUAUGAGCUCCUUACUGGCAAGAAGCCAAAUGUCAGUUACUUCAGAGUAUUUGGUGCCAGGUGCUGGAUCAAGGAUCCACAUCACACUUCAAAAUUUGCACCAAAAGCACAUGAAGGUUUUAUGCUUGGAUAUGGAAAGGAUUCGCACUCCUACAGAGUCUUCAACCUUUUUCACUAUAAAGUGGUUGAAGCAGUGGAUGUGCGGUUCGAUGAGACUAACGUCUCACAAAGAGAGCACCUGCCAAAUGUGCUAGAUGAAGUUCCAUCCAGUGAAUCAAUCAAACUUAUGGGAACUGGAGAAAUCAUACCUUCUGAAGCUCAGCCUGAAGAGGAAUUUAUCAUCUCCGCACCUGAUCAACCUGAAGACAAUGAUCAACUUGAAGACAAUGCUCAGCCUGAAGACAAUCCUUCUAACGAUGACAAUGACCAGCAAGAGCAAAAUCUUCGUCCUGUACAUCCUCGUGUCGCAAAUGAAGUACAGACUGAGAGAAUAAUUGAUAUCAUUAAUGCACCAGGUCCACUCACUCGUUCAAGGGCAACACAGCUAGCAAAUUUCUGUGGGCACUUCGCAUUCGUCUCAAUAUCUGAACCCAAGAAAGUUGAAGAAGCCUUCAUGGAACCUGAAUGGAUUCAAGCUAUGCAAGAAGAGCUUCAACAGUUCGAGCUGAAUAAUGUAUGGGAACUAGUUAAGCGUCCUGAUCCUCGCAAGCACAAUAUAAUAGGCACCAAAUGGAUAUAUCGCAACAAGCAAGAUGAGCAUGGUCAAGUUGUCAGAAACAAAGCUCGUCUCAUUGCUCAAGGUUACACUCAAGUUGAAGGGAUUGACUUCGAUGAAACAUUUGCUCCUGUGGCUAGACUUGAAGCCACACGCAUACUGCUGGCCUAUGCAAAUCAUCAUAACAUUCUUCUGUAUCAAAUGGAUGUGAAGAGCGCUUUUCUCAAUGGCAAGAUUGAAGAAGAAGUGUAUGUUGCACAACCGCCUGGCUCUGAAGAUCCAAAACAUCCUGACAUGGUGUACAAGAUCAACAAGGCAUUGUAUGGCCUCAAACAAGCCCCUCAGGCUUGGUAUGACACUCUCAAAUACUUCCUGAAGAGCAAAGGCUUCAAACCUGGUUGCCUCGACCCCACUCUCUUCACGAAGACAUAUGAUGGUGAAAUGUUUGUGUGCCAAAUAUAUGGGGAUGACAUUAUCUUCGGCUGCACCAAUCAGAAAUACACUGACGAGUUUGGAUAUAUGAUGCAAGAGCAAUAUCAGAUGUCCAUGAUGGGUGAGCUGAAGUUCUUCCUUGGUCUUCAAAUACGUCAGCAACACAACGGCAUCUUCAUAUCUCAAGAUAAGUACCUCAAAGAUUUCCUGAAGAAAUUUGGGAUGCAAGACUGCAAAGGCUUCACGACUCCAAUGCCAGCCAAACAUCAUCUGGGUCCCGACGACAAUGGUAAAGAGUUCGAUCAAAAGGUAUACCGCUCCAUGAUUGGUUCUUUACUGUAUCUAUGUGCAUCUAGGCCAGAUAUUAUGCUUAGUGUUUGCACGUGUGCUCGAUUCCAAGCGGCGCCAAAGGAAUCGCAUCACUUAGCUGUGAAGCAAAUUCUCAGAUAUUUGGCUCACACCCCAACAUUAGGAUUAUGGUAUCCAAAGGGCUUAGAGUUUAAUCUAGUUGGAUUCUCGGAUGCUGAUUAUGCUGGUGACAAGGUGGAUCACAAGUCUACAUCAGGCACAUGUCAUUUUCUAGGAUGAUCACUUGUAUGUUGGUCUUCAAAGAAGCAGAACUGUGUAUCUCUCUCCACUGCUGAAUCUGAAUACAUUGCUGCCGGAUCUUGCUGCGCUCAGCUUCUAUGGAUGAAGCAAACACUCAAAGACUAUGGUAUUCAUCUGAAGCAAGUGCCACUCUACUGCGACAACGAAAGCGCCAUCAAGAUUGCCAACAACCCAGUUCAGCACUCGAAGACAAAGCACAUUGAAAUUCGUCAUCACUUUCUCAGAGAUCAUGUUGUGAAGGAAGAUAUUGAUAUCAUACACGUCAACACUGAAGAGCAAUUGGCAGAUAUCUUCACCAAGCCCUUGGAUGAGAAGAGGUUUUGCAAGUUACGGUGUGAGCUAAAUAUCUUGGAAUCCUCAAAUGUCCUGUGAUCAGGCACACAUCCUAACACUUAUGCAUACUGAUGACUUAGAUGUGCAACACACGAAGUAAAGCAUAUCUUCAAUCAAUGAAGACUUACAUUCUAAGUGUGAAUACAUUAAUGUGGAAUUUGACUUCGGAGCGCCACGAUAUUUGUGCGCCGUGUCUGGGUCUAAUACUUCCUAUACGGUGGGUAACGCCACCACCAAAAUUUUCUGUUUGAAGUGUUUCACUCAUGGUGUUACGUUUGGUAUGUCUUCACAUUUGGUUUGGCUUCAAUUUCAACUUGUCUUCAUGAUUAUCUUCACGAUGUUGAUUUGAUUGUCUUUCUUAUAUAUACAUAUAUAUACUAGUGUUCUGUCCUCUACAACAUUCACUUAUAGCUAUGUCUUCUUGUUGAAUCUUUUGAACUAAGUGAAUGUGAUCGGACCCUAACCUCUUUAUGCUUUCUAUCUCAAACUCUAUCUCUCCAAAUCAUAUUCAUUCUAUUGAAACUGUCGAAUAUCUUCUCUGCGUCCUUGUCAGCAGAAGAUACAGAGACAAACAUUAAGUCUGUUUCAAUGCUAAUUCCUUCACCUGAAACCCGGAGAAGUGGGAACGACCACCCGACAAUCCAAGCGUGCGUGGGAACGUGGAACAACCUCCGAUAUGUUGCAUGAUGGCCACGUGUCCUUCAGAUGUAAAUCGCCAGGGGCACCUGUGUAAUAACACUGUGCCGUCCCUAUCCCUAUAAAUACACGCCUCACCAUAGUCAUUAUCCUUUCUUCCACUCAUGCACAAACCCUAGCACCACCGCUAGCCCUCGACGACGCCGACGACGAAGUGCAUAGCUGCCUCGACCUCACCGACGCCGUCGCCGUAGGUGUCCUCCGUCACCAAGUUAGGGCACGGACGAUCAAUCUGCUCGGCCUCCUCUCCCACUCCGUCUAGCAGUUCUUUGUGUGGUAAAUAAAACUUCCUUUUUACGCCCCCCUUGAUCCUAUAAAUUCAUCACUUUCUACCACAAGCAAUUUCUAUUCACACGAGUUGGAUCUAAUUCAUACUGCAUCUCAUAAUAUGCCUAGUAUGUUCACUUAUGCUUCACAAAGUAGUUAGAUUCCUCACUUGUACUUAUCCGUGGAUUCGUACAAAUCUGGAACCAACUCUCUAUCUAUGAGUGAAUGUCUUUGCACUAUGAGGUCAAUGUCUUCUAAACUGAUUUAUCUUCAAAAUCUUCUGAGAAUGCAUAUGACCUCUUCCCCUUCCCUCGCACCUUAAUGCUGUCACAGCUACAUGUUCGUGGGAGAAUCCCUUGGUUCUCAUAGUCUGCAUUCAUUUGCAGAAUUCUUACAACAUCAUAUAAAUUCUCCCGAAGCCAGUUCCUGCUUGACCAGCAAGCGAAAGCCUUUGAAACCUUUGAACGUGUUGAAGCCAUUCAGUUUGAAGAUCAUGGCUACAGAGAAAUCGGCAAGGAAGGGUGGUAGGAAGCGUCGAGGUGGAACAUCAAGAGAUCUGCCUGAUGACCUCUCAGAGCUGUACAAGACAGAUCCAGAAGAGGAUUACACUCAGCGCGAGACACGAAUCCAAUGGAUUCGACGAUAUUGGGCAGAACAGUGGUUCAAGUACAGGUUUGUGACCAAGGAAUAUGCUGAGAAGAAUGCCAUCAAGCGACCAUGGGGAGACAUCCUCUAUAGAAAUCUUCAACCCAGGUCCAGAGAUGAAGCCAUUGAACAAGGCUUCUAUCCCUGCAUGGUCCAUGGAUCACAGCCUGCGGAUGCAGACCCAUCGUCAUUGCUAUGUUGUCGUGACGACAAUCUGUUCAAGCGCAACUUCCAGUUUGCCAAGAAUUCGGUGAAGCAAAACAAGAAGUCAUUGGGACUAGACUUCAACCCUGGUCCCUCUGCUCCCCGUGCCGAUGGCACCUGCGAAGCUGAAACCAAUCUUGUUGGGCCCUUCUACAACCUGGCAGGUCUCAUCACUCAUAUCAUGGUUCAAGGGACAGCCGUGGAUGAGCCUGCAGAUGACGCUGAAUCUGAUGAAGCGCCUGCACCGCCGAAGCCAAAGAAAUUGAAGAAGCCUAAAGCUUCAAAGUCUGCCUCAGCACCAAAAAUCUCACGUGCGAAGCCACUGGCUACUGCACCUCCUGAAGACAGUGUGCAGUUUGAAGAUCUAUCACGCAUCUCCAAGAAGACUGAGAUGAGAAAGAGUACUGAUCAGGCACUAACUGCUGCUGCUAUUCUGCACAACGACGCCAUUGAUCUGUCCAGUGAUGAAGAUCUUGCAGAUGACGCUCUUGAGUAACUGAUCAAGAGAAAGGAAGAAGCAGAGAUCUUUAAUGAUUUGCCUCUCUUUGAUGUGGCAAUCAUCCAUGACUUCAUUGAUGAGUGGUUUGACACGCCCAACCUCAGCUUUGAAGAUCUGCAACUUCCAAUUGGCCUCAGUGUCGCCUUCACUGGCGCCAUUGCUUCUGAGCUAGCUCUAGCUCAGCGCAUCGUUGAACUUAAGCAAAAGAUCGACUAUGAGAAAGCUCAGUUCAAGAAGCACAUGGCCAAGCUCAGCGUGCAAGAUGUGAAAAACUUCAAGAUUAUGCUGCACGAGCUCAAGGAAGCCUUUCUUAAGAAGCAUGAAGAAGCUCAAGGUUCUUGUGAGCACAUGAAGAGCCUGGCUGACAAGUGCGUGCAAGCCUACAAUGAGGCUGAGAAGCGCAAGGCUCUUGGUCGUCCUGGCAUCGACCCCAGAAUGGCUGCAAAGAAGAAGAAGCCCUCAACUGAUCAAUCUGCACCUUCAAGGCAGGAAGAACCUCGCAUAGUCUUCCCAAGCAGCAUGACUAGUUCGAAGCCAAAGGUCAGGUCAACUGCAUCAGAACUGAAGAAGACGAGGACUGCCGAGGCUAAAGCUAGAAAAAGGAAAAAUCCUGAAGCUUCUGAUGUCGCUCCCUCUAAGAAGAAGCGUAAAACCAAGAAGGAUCGGGCUGCUCCCAUAGAGCCCCUAGUUGUUGAACCUAACUCAAUGGUUCGCCCUGCAUCUGAACACCAUGAGCACCAACUGAUUGUUCAUGAGCCUGCUUCCACAGAGGCUCAUGAAGCUGAAGACAUUCCAGCAGUUGAUCCCACCGCUGCUGAAGACAUUGUUCACCAUGACAAUGUUGAAGAUGAUGUAGUUCUUCCUCAGAUCGAGAACCAACUGGUAUCAUCGCCUGUGCUCACACACAGCGAACUCAUCAACAUUGGUCGUCCUGUGACGCCAAUUGCUCAGGAUGCAUCGUGGGCUGAUCACCCACAACAACAAGACACCCAAGUACUCCCCAACAACAACAAGUCACACCACCUGUUCCAGACGAAGAAAACGACUUUGAGGCCCAGCCAACUCCAUCUCCACAGGCGUCGCCAGCGCUACGUAGGCUUCGCAAAGGACCAAGGCCUCAAGUCCCCCUUUUGAGCGUUCCAGAAGGAGAAGUGCCCCAAUCUGUUGCACGUCAAGUGUUCCCAGAAGCCACUCCGACUGUGAAUGUCUCUGUGUAUGAAGCCAAAGGUGCUGAAGACAAUCCGGCUGCAUCAGCCGAUGACACACAAGAAGAAGAUCGUGUCCCUACACCCCCAAUCUCUGAUGAAGAUGUUCCUGAAGUGAACGUAUCUGUGCCCGACCCUCCAGCUCAUCAAGUGGAGGUUGAGAAUCCUGAGGCUGCCACCACCAACACAAAUGAAGCCAAUGACGUAGUCAUGGCUAAAGCAAAUGUGGAGCCUGCACCAGCCCAUGUGCCAGAGGCCAAUGAAGCCAAUGAUGCACCUGCAACAGAUGUGCAGCCUGAAGCCUCUAUUGAUGCCACUGCUCCUGUUCCGCCACCAAGGCCACACACUAUCGAGCAAGCAUUCAACUAUGGCCAACUUGUCACUGUCAAAUGGCCCAUUCUGACUCCUCCGCCUGGUGCUGGCCCUCAGUUUGACUAUCACGUUGAGCACAGGCCUCAGGUUCAGAAGCCAAUACCAAGGUUGCCCAGGUUUCCAGGCACUGCAUCUGCACCCGGAUCAUUCAAUAUCAAUGGCUUCAAGGCACACAACACCUUCUUUGAUAGCGCCAAGAACCCCUACACCAAGGCAAGAAUAUCUUCUGAUCGGUUCUGGAGCUAUCAGCAGCGCAGUUAUUACUCAUGCAUUCUGUACACUCAAGGCUGCAUUUUCCCACAUAUGCGUCUUGACACUGAAGCCAUAACUGGACUGCGUUGUUUGGAAGAAGCUCUGGAUUGCUUCGGAGAGUCUGGUUUGCUGCAGUUCGUCACUGAUAAGGAGCACUGGAAUGAAGAAUUGCUACUCCAAUUUUAUGCCACUCUUCGUAUCCGUGGCUACAACAGGGAUCCGAAGACUUGGGUCCUUGAGUGGAUGACAGGCAAUGUUCAGCAUGAAGCCAAAACCUUUGAUAUCAUUGAGCUUACUAGCCUGCCCACUCCAGGAGAUCUGUAUGAACCUGGUUGUCAGCUUCAUAGUGCUGCUAUGGAAAGCAUCUUCCACAAGCCUGAGCCCAAUAUGAGUUAGAUGCUUAGCAUGAUGAAGCCUUUGUCUCCAGAUGCUGAAUAUCCUAAGGAGUUCUUUGUUGAAGACCUUGAGUAUCUGCCACGUACUAUCUAAACUACACUCAACUGUCACCUAUCAGCCCUCUGCUCGCAAUCAUCAGAUCUUUCUGCCUGACGUCGAUAUGUCAGUUGAAGCCAUCUACCCAGAGCCUUCCAGGGAGCCCCUUAGUCUUCAGAAUGCUGAAAAACAAAGCUUCUCUCAAAACAUUGAAGGAGUUCAAGCAGUCACACAUGUUUAUCCUCUGGCUGGAACUACACGUGCACCUCAUCAUGCCCUCACUGAAGCCACUGAAAACACCAUUGCCCAAAGGCCCAAGAAGUGCUCCCGUGUUCCCAAUGACCGAGAGCUUCUGGUUGCCCUUCAUCAGAAAUAGGAUAGGCAUCAUGACUGGCUGAAGCGCCAAAUGCAAAGCCUCUUGGUGGACGUAAACAGGAUUCGCAAUCUUGCCACCAAGAAUGCCUUUGUUGCCCAUGAAACCUGUCGGCGUACAUGGAAAGGGCUAACACUUAUGUGCUCUGAGGAUGAUCUUCAAGAGGAUGGCUUCUCUGAACGCUUCAAAUUUGACUCAACACCUCCAAGAAGGAUUGUACUCCGACGAACUCCAUCUCUUGAAGACUCUGAGUUCUCCUCCUCUGCUGCAACUGUGAAUGCCAGAGUGAUCGAUGAUGAAGACGAUGCUACUUCACCGCCCCCUACUUCUGCACGCAUUGACACUGCCCCGAGUUCGUCUGCAUCGCCUAACAACACCGACGACCCUGCUGCUUCACCUACUCCUCAUGGGAAAGAGUAGGCGCUCUAUGUCUUCAAACCUUUUUGGUCCUCACUGACAUAAGGGGGAGAAGCAUAUGGGUUGAUAGUCUUCAAACGGGUCUAUAUGGGUGGUUGGUCUAUUUUUACUACUUUUGCCAAGUGCUUACAACUCUCGUUUUCGAUACAUUUGGUUCUUUGAGUUGUAACACUUAAACUCGAUGGUCGUCUGCUACUUAUUUGCUAUUCUGUGAUGCGGUGAUAAAUUCCGCAUGUGCGAGGAUAAAUUCCGCACUUAGAUCAUUUUGCAGACGUCCAUUUUUCAUUAUGCAUGUCAUUAUAUUCAUUACAUCAUAUCUUGCAUAAUGACUUGUCAUCAUAAGUUGAAGAGGAUCUCCACAAGUACAACCUGCCAUGUGCAUUUGCAUUCCAAAAGCAAAUUACUUAUAUGCACAUCUUCAGGGGGAGCCCUUGCAACUUAUGAACACAAUCCCCUAUCCUUUACAAUUUCACAUAUUAUAUUCCCCGUUGAAAACUUCAACUAGUUUGUCAUCAAUCACCAAAAAGGGGGAGAUUGUAAGUGCACCUAGUGCCACCCCUAGUUGGUUUUGGAGUAUUUACGACAAACCUAGUUGAGGGACUAAUGUGUUUGUGAGAAUUGCAGGAUAACACAGGUAGAAGUCCCUCAUUGAUUUAGUUUUCCUACCAGAGAUGACCCCUAAAAAUGAAUGAAGACAUUGAAGUCAAAGGUGGUAUGUGAAGACAUUCACAUUGAAGACUAUGACAAGAGAAGACAUCACAUGAAGACUAUGGAGCGCGAAGACUUAGUUGUUUCGUCGUUCUUUUUCUUCUUUGUUGAGUCAUAGGAACCACCGUACUGUUAAGUGGGGUCCAAGUGAACCAGUCAGAAUGACUGAAGUGAUGCUUAACCAAAAUCCUAUGUCUUCGAGUGAAGACUAUGACAGCAAAUCUUGUCCAGAGUUGGAUAAGUCAGCUUUGCUUGUAGCCCAAGUAAAGUUGCCGUGUGUGUUUGAAAUCUGACCGUUGGAACACGUGUCAGUUCCUUAGUGACCAAGGGUCAUUUCGGACAAAUCAGGUCGGGUUGCCUAGUGGCUAUAAAUAGUCCACCCCCUACAACCAUAAAUGGUUGGCUGCUCAAAGUUAGAGUACGACUUUUGUCGUUUGAGAGCAACCCGCCUCGAAGCCUUUGAGAGAGAAUUCCUUGCGAGGAUAAAGCCCUAAACACCCAGAGCCAAAGAGUGUUAGGCAUCACUUAAGUCUUCCCGUCUGUGUGAUCUGAAGACUUAUUACACUUGAGGACUGUGAAUCCUCCAGCCGGUUAGGCGUCGCGUUCUGAGCAUCCAAGAGUCAUUGUGGAUCAUCGGUGAAGGUUUGGAAGUCUACCUUGAAGACUUACCAGAGUGAUUGGGCGAGGAAUGGGUGUCCUUAGCUCAAGGGGAAUAAGGUGAAGAUGAGGUCUUCUGAGAAGAAUCUCAGCCUCCCUAACCAGACGUACAGUUGUCACAGCAACUGGAACUAGUCCAACAAAUCAUUGUCUUCAAUGAGUCAUUGGUUUCAUCCUUCCCUUCCCCUUGCCUACUGUUGGUCCUUGUGAAGUCAUUGUAUGAUUGCAUUAUCUUUUGUCUUCACUAAGUGACUACUUGUUCUGAUUGGCUUCACAAUAUCUUCCUACCUGAUCUUUACUGCCUAGUUGCUAUUAGUCAUUGUGCUUUCACUUCGUUGAAUACUUGACUAUGGUUUGCCUAGUGUAGUCUACCUUCCGCUGCAUGGUAAUAGGUUUAUUUCUAUCGUUUGUCUUCGAAACUUCCAUGUCUUGAAGACUUUCAUAAAAGUCUCCUAUUCACCCCCCUCUAGUCGAUCACUAGCACUUUCAGGUGGCCAUCUUCAUCAUCCCGGUGCUCUCCAUGAUGAGGAGGGAGUAGUUCUCCCUCGGGGCUGAGGGUAUGUACUAGUAGCUAUCUGUUUGAUCUCUCUCUCUCUCUCUCUCUCUCUCUCUCUCUCUCUCGUGUGCUUGAUUUGGCACGAUCUUGAUGUAUCACGAGCUUUUCUAUUAUAGUUGGAUCUAAUGUUUCUCCUCCCCCUCUACUCUCUUGUAAUGAAUUGAGUUUCCCCUUUGAAGUUAUCUUAUCGGAUUGAGUCUUUAAAGAUUUGAGAACACUUGAUGUAUGUCUUGCCGUGCGUAUCUAUGGUGACAAUGGGAUACCAUGUGAUUCACUUGAUGUAUGUUUUGGCGAUCAACUUGCGGGUUCCGCCCAUGAACCUAUGCAUAGGGGUUGGCACACGUUUUCAUCGUGAUUCUUCGGUAGAAACUUUGGGGCACUCUUUGAGGUUCUAUGUGUUGGUUGAAUAGAUGAAUCUAAGAUUGUGUGAUGCAUAUCGUAUAAUCAUACCCACGGAUACUUGAGGUGACAUUGGAGUAUCUAGGUGACAUUAGGGUUUUGGUUGAUUUGUGUCUUAAGGUGUUAUUCUAGUACGAACUCUAGGGCUGUUUGUGACACCUAUAGGAAUAGCCCAACGGAUUGAUUGGAAAGAAUAACUUUGAGGUGGUUUCGUACCCUACCAUAAUCUCUUCGUUCGUUCUACACUAUUAGUGACUUUGGAGUGACUCUUUGUUGCAUGUUGAGGGAUACUUAUGUGAUCCAAUUAUGAUAUUAUUGUUGAGGGAACUUGCACUAGCAAAAGUAUGAACCCUAGGCCUUAUUUCCAUGCAUUGCAAUACCAUUUACGCUCACUUUUAUCAUUAGUUACCUUGCUGUUUUUAUAAUUUCAGAUUACAAAUACCUUUAUCUACUAUCCAUAUACCACUUGUAUCACAAUCUCUUCGCCGAACUAGUGCACCUAUAUAAUUUACCAUUGUAUUGGGUGUGUUGGGGACACAAGAGACUCUUUGUUAUUUGGUUGCUGGGUUGCUUGAGAGAUACCGUCUUCAUCCUACACCUCUUACGGAUUGAUAAACCUUAGGUCAUCCACUUGAGGGAAAUUUGCUACUGUCCUACAAACCUCUGCACUUGGAGGCCCAACAACGUCUACAAGAAGAAGGUUGUGUAGUAGACAUCAAGCUCUUUUCUGGCACCGUUGCCGGGGAGGUGAGUGCUUGAAGGUAUAUCUUUAGAUCUUGGAAUCGUGUCUUUUAGUUUCUUGUUUUAUCUCUAGUCUAGUUUAUAAAAUAACACUAUAAAAAAUGGAAUUGAGUUUGUCUCAUACGCUUCACCUUUUUAAUAUCUUUCGUGAGUAUGAUGGAAAGGAUAAUUGUGCUCAAGUGCUAGAAGAAGAAAUCUAUAAAAUGUUUGGCACUAAAUCUUUGAAUGAUGAGCAUGAUUGCAAUGUUGUUAGUAUGAAUUCUUUGAAUAUCCAUGAUACUAAUGAUGAUUGCACUAGUUAUGAUGAAAAUGUCUCCUAUAAACAUGUCAAUUUUUGUGGAGUACAUUGGGUUUGUAACUACACACCAAAUAGGGAAGAUAGAUAUUGCAAGAGGCAUAAAUACUUACAAACUAAAUUGUUGCAAGAAGAGCUAGAUGAAUGUGCUGAAAAUUUAAAUUAUGUUGGCCAUGCUUGUGAGCUUUGUAAUGAACGUGGUCAUUUAAUUAUCCAAUGCAAAUUGUUUCAUGAUCUAAUCGUGUCCAAAAAUUUUGAUGACUUGAUUUCCCUUGCACAUUAUAAUGAACUUAGUUUGCUUAUGGGCUACGAAGAAAUGAAACGUAUAACUAAGGAUAUUCCAAAAUUUGCCCUUGAUAGAGUUCUUCAUUUUGACCUAGAGGAAAUUUAUAUGUAUUGUGCGGUGAAUUGCAUUGUAAAUCCUUAUAUUGCCAACUACAUAAAGAAAAGAAAACAAAUAGAAGAUGAAGAGAAUACUAAUGAAAGGGAAGAGACUUCCCAAUAUCCUCAUAUUAUUUCUUAUGAUGAAUCAGGUAACGAGGAGGAGCCUCCUAUUCAACCAAUCUCAUCAAUAAGGAGCUCCAAAAAGAGGAUUGAACCCACACAUGAUGUGGUGAAGAAGAAGAAAAGAAAAAGGAAGAGAAGUAAAAAGAUAUCUCUCCCAAAUAGUACUGCUCCUAUUACUAUUGUGCCUCAUGAAAUAUAAUUGUGGAAGAUAAUGAUACUUCUUAUGAUCUUGAAAAUCUUUUUGGCACUUUCUUGGAAGAAUAUGAUAAUUGUUAUACUAUUGGUGCUAUCCAUACUAUUAAUGAUGAGAGUGAUUAUGCUUAUAAUAUGAAAAGGCCCAAGCUUGGGGAUGCUAUGUUUGAAGAAGAUGAUGUUUUUGAGAAUAUAUUUGCUGCAAUUUAUGUUUGUCCCAAGCUUGGGGAUGCUACGCUUAAUGAAGAUGAUAUUUUUAGUAUCCCCAGUUUUGAUAUGCAAAUUUAUAAUGAUAACAACAUGCCUCCUACUUAUGAUAAUUAUUGUGAUGAUACAUAUGCUAUAAAAAGUAGUGAGGAUUAUAUUUAUAAAACUUUUCAAGAUUAUGGUUACCCCUUUUCUGAACAUUACUCCUUUAAUGUGGAAACAAUUUAUAGUAUCCAAGUCUCUUAUGAUACUCCCACUAUUCUGAAUGAGAAGAAUUUUGCUUAUGUGGAGAGUAAUAAAAUUUCUAUGCUUGUUAUAUUGUUGAAUUCAUUCAUGACGCUACUGAAAAGUAUUAUGAGGGAGGAAUAUAUGCUUGUAGGAAUUGCAAUAAUAUCAAGUUUCCUCUCUAUGUGCUUAAAGUUUUGAAGUUAUGCUUGUUUUACCUUCCUAUGCAAGUUGAUUCUUGUUCCCAUAAGUUGUUUGCUCACAAAAUCCCUAUGCAUAGGAAGUAUGUUAGACUUAAAUGUGCUAGUUAUAUUCUUCAUGAUGCUCUCUUUAUGUUACAAUUCUUAUCUUUUAUGCGAGCAUCAUUGAAAUCAUCAUGCCUAGCUACGGGCGUUAAACGAUAGCGCUUGUUAGGAGGCAACCCAAUUUUAUUUUUGUUCCUUGAUUUUUGUUCCUAUUUAGUAAUAAAUAAUUCAUCUAGCCUCUGUUUAGAUGUGGUUUUAUUGUUUUAAUUAGUGUUUGUGCCAAGUAGAACCUUUGGGAAGACUUUGGGAAAGUCUUGUUGAUCAUGCUGUAAAAAACAGAAACUUUAGAGAUCAUGAGAAUUGCUGCCAUUUUUAUUUGGAGAGUGCUAUUUAGUUAAUUAUUUUUGCAGAUUAUUAAUAGAUAAAUUCCUCAGGUCCAGAAAUUUAUUUGAUAAUUUUAUGAGUUCUAUAAGUAUACGUUUGAUCCAGAUUACUAUAGACUGUUCUGCUUUUGACAGAUUCUGUUUUUCAUGUGUUGUUUGCUUAUUUUGAUGAAUCUAUGGCUAGUAAAAUAGUUUAUAAACCAUAGAGAAGUUGGAAUACAGUAGGUUUAACACCAAUAUAAAUAAAGAAUGAGUUCAUUACAGUACCUUGAAGUGGUGAUUUAUUUUCUUAUACUAACAAAGCUUACGAGUUUUCUGUUAAGUUUUGUGUUGUGAAGUUUUCAAGUUUUGGGGAAGGAUUCAAUGGACUAUGGAAUAAGGAGUGGCAAGAGCCUAAGAUUGGGGAUGCCCGAGGCACCCCAAGGUAAUAUUCAAGGACAACCAAAAGCCUAAGCUUGGGGAUGCCCCUGAAGGCAUCCCCUCUUUCGUCUUCGUUCAUCGGUAACUUUACUUGGAGCUAUAUUUUUAUUCACCACAUGAUAUGUGUUUUGCUUGUAGCAUCAAUUUAUUUUGUUAAUAUUUGCUUGCUGUUAUUUAGAACAAUGUUUUGCAUCUUUUAUUUCAAUAAAAGUGGCAUUGGUAGCCUUUACUUUGCCUAUUUUAGAAGUCCACAUGUUGCUGUUUGAAAACAGAAACUUUACGCUGUUGCAAUAAUUCCCUAGAAAAGUCAGAAUGUGAUAAAAUGUUGAAAACUUUUGCAUAUUAAGCUCUGAUAAAUUUACUACAGUGGAAAUUUUAUUUCGUAAUUUUUGGAGCUAGGGAAGCAUGGAUGUUGCAGCAUUCUUUAAAGACUAUCCUGUUUAGGCAGAUUGCUGUUAUGUUUGCAUUGUUUGCAUAUGUUUGCUUCUUUAAUGAUUCUAUUUGAGGAUAGGACUAUUAAAUAUGCAGAGGCAUUUAAUAUGCAAUGUUGAAUAAUAAUUUUAGUGAUUUUCUACAGUAGAGUAUGAUAAGGUUUUUGCAAUGGUUUAUACUAACUUAUCUCACGAGUCCUUGUUGCAUUUUGUGUGGAUGAAGCUUUUGAGAUUUAGGGAGACCGUGAUAUGAGAGGAAUUAAGGAGACACAAAAGCUCAAGCUUGGGGAUGCCCAAGGCACCCCAAGAUAAUAUUUCAAGAAGUCUCAAGCGUCUAAGCUUGGGGAUGCCCCGGUUGGCAUCCCACCUUUCUUCUUCAACAACUAUCGGUUAGUUUCGAUUGAUCCUAAGUUUUUGCUUCUUCACAUGAUGUUUGCCAUUCUUAGAAUGUCAUUUUGUUUUGCUUUGCUUGCUGUUUGAAUAAAAUACCAAGAUCUGAAAUUAUUAAAUGUUAGAGAGUCUUAGUUGCAUAAUUAUUCGACUACUCAUUGAUCUUCACUUAAAUCUUUCGGAGUAGUUUGUCAUUUGCUCUAGUGCUUCACUUAUAUCUUUUAGAGCAUGAUGGUAGUUUUAUUUUGAAGAAAUAGAUGAACUCUCAUGCUUCACUUAUAUUAUUUUGAUAGUCUUAAAUAGCAUGGUAAUUUGCUUAAAAUCCUAAUAUGCUAGGUAUACAAGAAGAAUAAUAAAAUUCUCUUAUGAGUGUGUUGAAUACUAUGAGAAGUUUGAUACUUGAUAAUUGUUUUGAGAUAUGGAGAUGGUGAUAUUAGAGUCAUUCUAGUUGAGUAGUUGUGAAUUUGAGAAAUACUUGUGUUGAAGUUUGUGACUCCCGUAGCAUGCACGUAUGGUGAACCGUUAUGUGAUGAAGUUGGAGCAUGAUUUAUUUAUUGAUUGUCUUCCUUAUGAGUGGCGGUCGGGGACGAGCGAUGGUCUUUUCCUACCAAUCUAUCCCCCUAGGAGCAUGCGCGUAAUACUAUGCUUUGAUAACUUGUAGAUUUUUGCAAUAAGUAUAUGAGUUCUUUAUGACUAAUGUUGAGUCCAUGGAUUAUACGCACUCUCACCCUUCCACCAUUGCUAGCCUCUCUAGUACCGCGCAACUUUCGCCGGUACCAUAAACCCACCAUAUACCUUCCUCAAAACAGCCACCAUACCUACCUAUUAUGGCAUUUCCAUAGCCAUUCCAAGAAAUAUUGCCAUGCAACUUUCCACCGUUCCGUUUAUUAUGACACGCUCCAUCAUUGUCAUAUUGCUAGCAUGAUCAUGUAGUUGACAUUGUAUUUUUGGCAAAGCCACCGUUCAUAAUUCUUUCAUACAUGUCACUCAUGCAUCAUUGCACAUCCCGGUACACCGCCGGAGGCAUUCAUAUAGAGUCAUAUCUUGUUCUAAGUAUCGAGUUGUAAUUCUUGAGUUGUAAGUAAAUAAAAGUGUGAUGAUCAUCAUUAUUAGAGCAUUGUCCCAGUGAGGAAAGGAUGAUGGAGACUAUGAUUCCCCCAUAAGUCAGGAUGAGACUCCAGAUGGAAAUAAAUAAAUAAAAGAGGCCAAAGAAGCCCAAAAAAAGGAGAAAAGAGGCCACAAAAAAAAAA